AAAAGGUGACAUUGUUCAGUCGCAACCCGGCUCAUACUAUUAUGCCUAUCCGUCUUAUCAAUACCCAGUUUACCAAGUUACAGAUUCCUAUGGUGAACCCAAUUGUUCCAUUAUGUGAAUGCCAAUUUUCGAUUGCCUAUGGAAAACAGAGUGUAUAGUAUUGGAACAGAGGGAUUCAAUAUAAUUAACUGUAUUUACAGUCAAAUAUUUAUUAAUAUGUUAAUAAAUAUAUAGAAUUUGAACGAAAGCUAUUUGGUUCACAAUGAAGUGAAUCAUUGAAGUUUUUGGUCCCUGUCCAGAGCUUAAUGGACUAUCUAGUAGAUGAAGAGUUUUGGUUUUUUUUUCCCAUCUUUUUGGGUCUCUGUAAAUGCCUUCCAAAUAUUAAAAUAUAUUAUUUUUCGUAUAAUUGGAUGAUCUGAGUGAUUUUAUUUGUGUUGUCAAAUUCAUUUGAAUUUAAUAUUUUUAAUAUAGAGUAUCAAUUUAAUGUGUAAAAGUUUACUAGAACUGCAACAAAUAAUAAACUUUAGCUCAUUGCUUCAAAAAUAUAUAACGUUCAAUGAUGAUAACUUUAAAAGUUUACUACGUAAAAUUUAUAUUUUGAAUCCAAACUAAAUAAGACCACGAAAUUACAAUGCAGGGGUAUUAAUUUUCCUUAUACUAAGAUCAGAUUAGUACAAGCUGUUUAUUUUGGAUUAUUUAAUUUUCAUAUAUAAUCUACUUCGAGAAGCACAAUUAGUGUGUGAUUAAUUGUUUUUGUUGAUCAAAUGUUUUGAAAAGUGGAAUUUUUAGAAAAUUAAAGUAUUGUUUUGAAUGUGACUAUUUUAGCUAUGUUUGCUAAAAUAUACUCAAAGCAAUCGAAGAAAAUUUUUAUUAUGAGGAUCCAUUGACAAGUUGACAUGUGGAUUGUGGGGGGGAGGGGGGCACAAGUUGUCCUUUAAAGCUGCAACUAAAAUCAAAGAGGAGAGAGUGUAAAGUUUAAUUGGAAAUUGAAAAAAUAUUGUGGGGUUCGCGUCAAAUACAAUUAAAUAAACUAAAAUGAUGUAUUCAAAAUAGAAAAGUGCACAAUAAAAAAGUAAUGAAACGAACCAAAAGUUAUUUUAUACGUAUAUUGAAAUUUUCUGAUUAAAACUAUUUUAAUAAAAAUGUCAAUUAAUAUUUAUUUUAAUAAAAAUGUCAAAUAAGAUAUUAAUGCCCAGAUUGAAGUUUCAUUGAUUUACUAUUUCUAAAAAUAAAUAUAAAAUUCAACAUAUUUAGCAUAAACUUUGUACGAUUUAAUAAAAGUGUAAUAAGUAGAAAUUUGACUGUUCUGCUCCAAAUUAAAAUGAAAUUCGUACUAUAUAAUGUUGUUAUAUAUCUAACACCAUUUAGAUAAAAGAAAUACUCUAAUAAUAUGAUUGUUAUAUCAUAGGAUAGUUUUUAAAAUUUUCACUUUGUUACACAUUUCAAGUCUUUUCUCAGUCCAUAUAUCAAAUAUCCAUUUUUAAAAGUAACACGAGUUUGAAAAAAAAAAAUAUACAUAAAUCUUAUUUUAUCUUGUAAUAUAGAAUCAUUUUUAAAAGUAACACAAAUUUGAAGAGAUCAAAGUGUAUGUAAAUACUAUUUUAUCUUGUAACAUAGAAAUAAUGUUUUUUUUAUAUAAAUCCUUAAUUAAACAAGUUAAAUAAAUGUGUAUAAAACAUAAAAUAAAAAUAUAGGUCAGCUGAUAAUAUGACUUCUCAUUCCCUGCAUUACUAUUUUAAUGUGUAUUUUUCCAUUUUCAAUACAUCAUUGUAGUUUAUUUAAUUGUAUUUGAUAUGGACCCCACGAUUUUCUUUCCGUUUUCAAUUAAACUCUACACCCUCUCUCCUCUUUGGUUUUAAUUGCAGUUUUAAAGGACAAUCUAUCCCCCACAAUCCACAUGUCAACUAGUUAAUAGAAUUUCAUACAAGUUUUUGUUGGUUGUACCUCUGACUUCUAUCCGUUCGACUUUUUUCUCUUCUUGCCUUUGGUAGGAGCUUCUUCAACAAUAUUAACUUCAAUUAUUGUCGAACUCUAACGAGACUUCUUUUCGGCGAUUCUAUUAUAUUCCUCAAUCUUGAGCCGAAUCACAAAAUUUUCAAGUUUCAUUUCCUUACGUUUGUGCUUUAAAUAAUUCUUGAAGUCGUUCCACGAAGGAGGUAACUUCUCGAUCAUUGCAACCACUUGAAAAGCUUCAUUUACAAACAUAUCCUCAGCAUUCAGAUUAUGGAAAAUAAGUUGAAGUUCUUGCACUUGUGAUUCAACAGUUUUACUAGUUGACAUUUUAUAGUCUAAAAACUUUGCGACCACAAACUUUUUCAAGCAUGCAUCUUUUGUCUUAUAUUUCUUCUAAGGUGCAUCCCACAAUUCUUUCAAAGUUGUCAUUGCACUAUACAUAUUAUAUAAGUCAUCCUCUAAAGCACUCAGAAUGUAGCCCUUACAUAGGAAGUCUGUCUGUUUUCAUGCUUCAAUAAUCAUGAAUUUUUCUUUGUCUAACAUUUCAGCAGCAGGCACUGGAGUUUCUUUACUGGUAAAUUUCUACAGACAAAGAGUGCUAAGCCAGAAAAAUACCCGUUGCUGCCAUCCUUUGAAAUUCAUACCAGAGAAUUUUCCCGAUUUCUCUGUUGGUGGUAUAACAAUUCGGGUUGGUGCAGCAACAACCACUGUUACAUUGUUGUUUGCCAUUUCUGAUAAACAAAAAUCGAUACAAACUUAGUAAGCAAUAACUUAAAUUGCAAACUUAAUAGGAGUAUAAAACUACAAAGGAUUUUGUCUCCACCAAAAACACAGAUUAAAAAUAAAUAACUAAUUUCCUUAAGAUUGUUGCCAAUCUGUGUUUAAAAAACAGUAAUACUGAUUACCAAAAACUUUGAAGAAACACGAAGUUACCAAAGUUUCCAAUGAACCAGUGAAGAAAAGAAGAACAUAAAUUAAUUCACAAAAAAUUAAAAUCUGUAAAACAUACCAGAAUCUGGAAAAGACAAAACGAAAAAAGAUCAAGUCUACUGAAUGCACAAUGUCCCCUUAAGGAAAUUAUUCCUCUCUAGUAUCUGAGGUUUGAUUUGGAAUAUAUCCUCCUAAGAUAGAAUGAUCUCAAUCACCAGUAUAUUGAUACCCAAAACGCGAGCCACUCAACGGUAGUAAAUUACACGAAAAAUAUUUAUGCAAAAGAAGAAGAAGAAAUCAGAAAUUUUCGUAAGUAAAAAGUCUGAAGAAUAACUGGUAUUUAUAGCCAAGAGGAACUGAUUCCGAAAGGUUGCAACCUUUCAGAAACCACACGACCAUUUCAGAAAGUUUGCAACCUUUCAAACGGCCAUGGCUGUUCCUGAAAGUUGCAACCUUUCAGAACAGUCAUCUCCAACGGUGGGAAAUUCAAAUAAAAUGGGAAAGUAAUUUAAAUAAAACCGGUCAUGCGGAUCCGAGUCGGAUCGGAACGUUUCGGUUAAUUAACUAAUUAAUUGAAACGUUUUGGCCAUUUAAUUUUAAAUAAAUAAGUAAAACAAAACUUUAUCCAAAAAAUAAUCUCUGAAUCAUUUUCCAAAGCCGAGCGAGCGACGACGACGGCGCGAGGAGGGUCCCUCUUCCCAACCAUUUUAACAAUUAAUAGAAAUGUUUCUCUAUUUAAAUUCUUCUAUUUUUCUUUUCACCACCGAUGAGGGAGAAAAGCCUUUUUACUAAAGCAUAAGAGGACUUUUCAAGUUCCUCUCUUUUCAUCUUCCCUCCAUUUUCCAUUAACUCUUGUUAUAUACCCAACAAUAUAUACGUCCAAGAAACUUAAAUGAUUAUUAGAAGAAAAUAUGAAAAAUAGGAUGAACGUACGAUUGCAAUCCUCAUUUAAUUAGAUAGAACAUUGAUUAUCUUAGAAAUGAAAGCAAUAUGGAUUUAAACCACAAAAAAAAAGUAUUAUGUCAACACAAAUAAUAGUAUCCAUAUAGGUGGUGGACAACUAUCUUCUUAUAAAUUUUAACAAUUCUCAUUUCGUAAAUUAAUUUUUGAAGUUUAAUUAAGUUUAAUAUUAGACGAGAGGGAGUUGCUCGGAUGGUAAGCACCCCUCACUUUCAAUCUGAAGGUUGCGAGUUCGGGUCACCAAGGAAGCAAAAGGGGUGGGAGCUCCUAGGGAGGGUUAAAAAAUAAAAUAAUAAUAAUAAUAAUAAUAUUAGAGUUAGAUUCAUCUCAAUUCUGUUCGAUGCUAGAUCCCAGAUCAUAUUAUGGUGUACACGUAAUAAUCCAAUCUAUGAGUAUAGGAUUGUUAAUAUGUAGUUCAUAACGAUUAAUUUUUAUUUCCUACUUAGUCACGUCUCAUUAUUUAUAAAGAAAUUAGUUAUAACUGGAGAUAACCAAUACUCGACAAUUCAUUUGAACCCGUUUUUCAUGAGCUAUACAAUGGUUUAAACGUAUAGUACUUACGGCGCCGAAACAAGAAAAUUGAUGCGCCUUAGUACUUGCCAAGCAAGAAAGGGGAAGAUGAUGACUUGGUUCGUUUCUAAAUAUCCAAAUUGUAGGAUGACUUAUUGACUUUUUGGGACCCCAUUUAUUGGAACCAAAUUUAGAGGAUAUAUUACUUCGUCAAUUUAGUUUGUUUUUAUUUUAUUAUUCUAAUGGAAUUUAAGAAAAUAAAAUUUAGAACUAAAAGUGUCACAAAGGGGAUUUUUUAAAACGAUUUUUAAAGAAAAAGUAAGAUAAAUAAAUUUUAAAAAAAAAAAUACCUGAAUUUUGUAAUCUAUUUGUUUUAAUUUAUUGUUUUAUUUUGACUAGAUAUAAAAUUUCAAAAAAAAUAAAAGAAUUUUUUAAUCAUUUAAUUUUAAAUUAAAAUAUGUAUUAAAAUAUAUUUUGAAUCUUAUAAGAUGAAAAAUAAAAUACUUGAAUUAAAAUAAAUGGAGUAAUAAAUUUUAUCCAAACAUAUAUUGGUUCCGUCUUAAUUUACGUGAUACUACUAUUUAAUUUGACGCAAAUUUAAGAAUUAAAAGAAAUAUUUUUAAAAUUUAUGGUCUAAACGAUGACUACUAUUCAUGUGGUUACAAAUCUAAAAGGUAAGUGUGUCAUGCAAAUUGAGACGGAAGAGUACUCCCUUCGUCCAACAAUAGUUGUGCAUUAUACUAUUUUGGGAUGUCCAAAAAUAUUUGUCCACUUUAUGAAAUAAUGAAUAAUUUUACACUUAUUCCUAAUUUCUGUUCAUUUUCUCCAAAUUUUAGCUUGGAUUGGAGACACAUGUCAUAGUUUAGAAUUAAUAGUUGAGAUCUAAUUAAUUAAAACAAAGUUUUAACCAUAGUUAUUUACUUUCAUAUAUUUGCUUCUUAAAUAAUUUUGCAAUCCAACAAUUCUAGAUUUACAUUAUAUUUUUCCUAAAUAUAUAUUUUUUAAAUUUCUUUUCUUAAUUACUUGAGUAAUAUUUUGCUGAUUUUUUUUACUUUUUUCCCUGACGAUUGUCAUUUCUCAAAUAAUAUUUGUCAAAUAAAAAAUUAAAAAUUGCGACCUAAUUUUUUUUAAAAAAAAUUAUGAGUAAAAUAAAUUUUGUCACUCAACUUUAAAUUAUUUUUUACUCCCUAAAUGGAGUCCAUAUUACUCUAUAGACAUUGUAGCUCUUAAUACUCUAUUAGAAUAAUAAAAUCGUUUAACUGUAUUAUAAUUUUUUUCAAUAAAGUAAAAAUAUUUAGUAAAAGUUUAAAAUAUGUAGGCAGGGCAGUAAAGAAAAGUUUUUAAUAUAUUUAGUGAAACUAUAAUGGAUUGCCAAAAUAUUUAAGAAUCAAAUAUAUGAAAGUAAAUAACUAUGGUUAGGACUUUGUUUUAAUCAAUCAUAUCUCAACCAUUAAAUCUAACUAUGACAUGUGUUUCCAAUUCAAGCUAGAACUUGAGGAAAAUGAAGAGAAGAGAAAUUGAGAAUAACCGAAUCCGUAUUUAUUAUAUUCAAAAAGUGAUAUAAUAAAAUUAUCCUUCUUUUUAAAGUUUAUUAAGAAAUGUGCAAAAUUAAUAGUGGAUUAAAUAUUGUUAGACACGGUAUAUUUUAAACAAUCAUUUUAUUUUUAUGGAUUCAGACGAUGAAAACUAAGUCAACUUUAUAACGUGCGGAGUUUGACGGAUGACUGAAUCAUUCUUCUUCAACACGCGUUAUUUCAAAUAAAUACUGUUCUUACAACUCUAUAAAUAGAGAAGAAUAUACAAAUACUCCUCACUGCAAUUUCUCAGCAUUUCAAAUAUUCCUCUCUUUUACUCUCUCUGCCUACUCAAUUAUACUCCUAACCAAACUUUAAUUCCCCAUCAAACAAACAAAAUGAAGGUAUACAAAUUAAUUUAAAUGUAAUUUUAAAUUUUUUUUAAGUAUAUGAUUCAACUCUUAUCUAUUAACAAAUGUUGUUAAAUUUGUGCAGCAAAAAGUUGUUAUCAGACUAUCUUUGAAUGGAAACAAUCAGAAAUAUCGAACCAAGGCCUUCAAGAUUGCUGUUUCUCAAUCAGGUAAUUUCAAUCAAAUGUAUCGAAUAAAGUCUCAUAUUGAUGUUAAUUAAAAAAAAUCGUGUGAAUUUGGCUCAAAGCUGAUUAUAUAUGUAUUGUUAAUUUUUGUUACUUAGGUGUGGAAUCAGCAGCUAUAACAGGGGACGGAAAGAACCAAUUGGAAGUUGUGGGAGAAGUAGACGCGGCGACUCUAACGAGCUUAUUGAGGAAGAAUUUGGGUCAGGCGGACUUGGUGAGCGUUGGCCCGGCUGGUGGUGGCCCCGCAGCUGCAGCUCCAGCUCCAGCCGUAGCUGCAGCUGCGAUGGUUCAGUCACAACCUGGCUCGUAUUAUUAUGCCUAUCCGUCUUAUCAAUACCCAGUUUACCAAGUUACAGAUUCCUAUGGCGAAUCCAAUUGUUCCAUUAUGUGAAUGACAAUUUUCGGUUGCCUAUGGAAAACAGAGUGUAUAGUAUUGGAAUAGAGGGAUUCAAUAUAAUUAACUGUAUUCACAGUCAAAUAUUUAUUGAUAUGUUAAUAGAUAGGGCUAUAGAGUUUGAGCGAAAGCUAUUUGGUUCACGUGAACUUGUAUGGUGUAUCAUUGAAGUUUUUGGUCCCUGUCCAGAGAGCUUAAUGGACUAUCUAGUAGAUGAAGAGUUUUGGUUUUUUUUUCCCCAUCUUUUUGGGUCUUUGUACAUGCCUUUCAAAUAUUAAAAUAUAUGAUUUUUCGUAUAAUUGGAUGAUCUGAGUGAUUUUAUCUAUGUUGUCGAAUUUAUUUGAAUUUAGUAUUUUUAAUAUAGAGUAUAAAUUUAAUGUGUAAACGUUUACUGAAACUGCAACAAAUAUUAGACAAGCUUCAAAAAUAUAAUGUCAAUUAUGAUAGAGUAACUUUUAAAGUAUACUACAUAAAAUUUAUGUUCUGAAUCCGUAAUAUACCUAAACAUGGUGGACUUUUAUAAACACAAAGAGAAGUUUCAUCUAAACUAAAUAAGAACACGAAAUUGCAAUGCGGGAGUAUUAAUUUUCCUUGUACUAAGAUUAGAUUAACACAAGCUGUUUAUUUUGGGUUAUUUAAUUUUCAUAUAUAAUCUAUUUCGAGAACCACACAAUCAGUGUGUGAUUAUUGUGAAAAAGGUUUGUCAUUUCAACUCAAGCUUGUGGGAGAAAAGUAUAUGAAUGGUGUGUUUGUUGGGAUAUAUACUAUUAACUAUGUGUUAAGAAAUAAUAUUUAUUAUAGAAUAAAUAUUUGCUCAAUUUUAAUAGAUCAUAUAUUCGUUUAUGGUGUCUAUUUACUUAUAUAGUAGAUGAUUUAGUGUGUAGAGUUUUAGCUUAUACACAGAUGAUUAAAUCAUCGGUUCUUAUAAGUAUAAAGUUUUUUGUUCACAAUCUAGGAUGGAAAUUGGACAUGCCAUCGGUACUAUUGUAGCACAAGAUUAUAGGUAAUUUAUCUUGAUUAUGGGAACGGUAUAGUUCCAACUUCUUGUGCUAGUGCAUUUUUUAUGUAUUGAACAGGACCGAGUAGAGAUAGUUGUUUUAGACUGACUGACAAAACAUAUUCUCUAAACUAUUAAAUGUACUUAUAUUCUUAAUCCUGAUAUAACUAUUAUGAUCUGUAUAUAUUAAUUAUCGUUUUGAUUUAUUAAAAGGUGAGAUUCUGAGAUGGGUCAAUAUGCCUGGUAAGUUGGAUGAUAAUAAUAUAUAUUGGUGAAAUAAUAAGUUAGUUGAUGAAAUCCAUGUCUCGUUAUAGAGAUUGAUUGAUAUGCCUUUUUGAGAAACUUAUAAGUUUUCAUCGUGUUAAACCUUGCAAGUGGAUUUAUGAAUCCGACACAUGAAAUAAGUUAAGUAGUGCUCUAAAGGAAAUUAAUCAUUAAGUUAAAUUCGUCAGUAAUUUAAUUUAUUGAUUAGUAUCUGAAAUCUUAACAUGGGGAAUUACAUAAGUGUUUAAUGGGGAAUUACGAAAUAUAAAUAGAGGAGUGCAAUUACGAAUUUCUAGUGGAAUGAUUUGUAAUUUAUUAUGGUAAGAAUAAUUCAAAUUAAUUAUUUGGAAAUAUUUCCAUAAUAGGAAGCCUCAGUAAUUAAUUAUGUGGUCCCUCCAGUGCCCAUAUUUAACUAGAACUCAAAAUCCUAAUUCUAAAGGGAAAAGGGGAGAGGCGUUAGUUUUCUUAUAAAAGGAAAACUAGCGUGUAUUUUUCGGUUGAUGAAAAAUAACGUGUGUUUGGUUCUCCUCUUUGGACUGUGAAGAAAUCUCUAUAAUUAGGGAUUCUUCCUACCCUAGAUUGAUUAGUUUUCUAUUCAUACUUGCCCACCCAAGUAUUGAGAGAGUUCAGAUGUGAACUUGGGAUCACUGUAGAAGACCAUAGCUAUCUUGUAGAUUCACUUGAAGGUCUGUAUAACUUGGGGAUUCGCUUGAAGGUAUAUGUUCACGCUUCAAGAGGUAUUUAUCGAAUUAAAUUUCAGUAUGUUUAUGUGUUCUAGCAUGAUUAUGUGAUCUAGCAUAAACGAUUAUUGGUUAUCUAUUAUUCAUGUAAGCAGUAAGAUUCGAAUAUGUUUCCGCUGUGCAUAUAAUUUUCCAACAGUGUUUGGCACGGAGGAAAAUAUUUUAAAUUGUUUUGUUGAUCAAAGGUUUUGAAAAGUAGAAUUUUUAGAAAAUAAAGUAUUGUUUUGAAUGUGACUAUUUUAGCUAUGUUUGUUGAAAUAUACUCAAAAUAAUCGAACGAUUAAUAUCAUCUUUCUUAACUAAGUUUCACAAUUUUUAAAAUAUAUUAAAAAUUAAUUACAUACACCUUGAAAAAAGUAGUUUUUUAUUAAUAAAAAAAAAGGAAUCUCGUUGUCUUAAAUACAUUAAUUAUUCUUCAUUAAUCACAUUAAAUAUUUUUAAAAAACUACUAAGAUGAAUCUUUUAGGUAACUAAUACUCCCUCUGUCCAAUAAUACUUGUUCAUUAUUGACUUUACACGCUCUUCAGAAACUUUAAAUAAAAGGGUAAAUACAAUGUCUUGAAAAUAUUAUAGAGAAAUAACUAUAAUUAACGAUAGGAAAAAUUCUUCUGACCAAAAAAAUUUGGCCAUAAUUUGGCUAGAAUGGUAAAAGGACAUGUUCACACUAUAAGCUAGUUUAUUUUUGGACAAUUUUAUCCUUUAACUCAAAUAUUGAAUAUAUUUUUCAAUUAUGUUUUCAAUGCAUUAAAAAUGAUUGAUGAGAUUAAUUAUUUAUGAUUUCAUAGUUAAACAUUAAAAAUGAACCACAAAAUCCACCAAAGAAAACAUAAUUUUCACCCACUCUACCCUCUUGAAAUUUUCAAGAUCUAAAAAAAAAAAAAAAUGUUUUAAAAAAUAAUUAAAAAUGUAAGCGUAGUAGUAAAAAACUACAUAAUAAAAAAAGUAGUAAAAAAUAUAUCUCUUUUUUCAGUUUCAAAAAUUCCUCCUUUUUACUUAUUCUUUUUUUGUUUAUUUAUAUUCCAUUUCUUAUUUCUUAAUGAUAAAAAGAGAAAAUUUAAAAACUAUAAAAGAGGAGUAAAGUGUAGAUGAUCUAUUUUACUUUAUAAUUUCUAAUCUAGAAAAGAUAAAUUAUAUCUAAAUUUAAAUAUUGAAAAUUUAUAUCUAUAAUACUCAAAAUUUAAUAUUUGAAAUUGACCCAGUUGGCAAAAUAAUUACUCCUAUUUAUUUCAAGGAGUCGUUGUUACACAUCGAUUUCUAGAAAGAAGUUAAAUAAUAAAAAUAUAUUUUAUUUGAUUAUACUUAGAAUGUAUAUGAGCGAAAUAUGAAGAAAAUUGAAACUAUAAUAAUGUUUCUCUUAUUAUGUGAUUGUCAUAUCCACGAUCGUAUAUGAAUUAUAUCAUUCACAAAUAAAGACUCAUUAAAAUUAAUAUUUUAUUUUUUAUUUUUGUACUAGAGACGUAUACAAAUAUUUUUGGAUAAAAAUGUUGACGGCGCUUCAUUGAAAAAUUAUAAUAACACGGAAAGGAUAUAGAAAGUUCUUCAUGAUUUCAAAAUAAUUUUUUAUAAAAAAAAAAUGAAAGAAAAACAUAUUCAUAGUUCUCCAAUGAUAAUGACAACACAAAUUUGUUAAGCAUGAACUAUCAAAGUUUCAUAACAUAUAUAUUUUUCUUUAUUAGUAUUAUUUGUUGUUUUAUAAAAAAAAUGUUUGUUAUUAAAUGAUUUGUUAAAAUAUUAAGUUUACAUAGUUAUAAGUCAUAAUAUUAAAAUUAUUUUUCCCUCAAAUUAAUAUUUUUUUGAAACUGAUUAUGAAUUUUUAUAAUUAAGUAAUUUUAUUGUAUUUAUUAUAUAAAUAGAUUUAAAUUACAUAAUUAAAUUACAUUUUACAUAAUUUUUUAAAUAUAAUGUAAAUAGUUUAAUAAUAACAAUCAAAACUCAAAACACUCUAGUUCAUAUGUAUCAACCCUAGAUAACAAACCAAAAGAGCCAAAUAUUAUAGUCUUGUGCCCCUGUUAUGUCAAUUUGAUGAUUUGAGAAUCAUUACUUAUAUUUGUUACUAAUAUGAGGUCUAAUUAGAUAAUUGUAGUAAUUAUUAGUAUGUUAAAAGAAAUUAAGCUAUGCAUAAAAAAUAAAAAUAUAAUUUGAAAAUAUUUCAAUAAUGGCAAUCAAAACUCAAAGUACUUUAGAAUUAGUCUACAUCGACACAUUAUAGAAAUACUUAAAAUCAUAUGGUUCAUAAGCGACGAUCCUAUUUUACACCAAAGAUAGUUACACAUAAUGUUGUAGUUUUGCAUAUUUGCUAAUUAUUAUGUUUAAAAAAAAUUAAACUACAUAUUUAAAUAAUUAAGUGAUAUCCCUAGUCAACAACAAGCUAAGAGUAUUUUCAAAAAAAAAAAAAACAAGCUAAGAGAGUGUUUACGCAUUAAUGUUAUAGUCUUGCACCUCUAUACUAUACUGACUUGAUAACUUAUGAAUUAUUAUUGAUACUUGUUAUUAAUAUGAACUCUAAUUAAAUAAUUUAAUGAAUUAUUGUGUUUAAACAAAUUUAAAUUAUAUAUUACUAUUUUUUAAUAUAAUCUGAAAAUAUUACAAUAAAAACAAUCAAAACUCAAAAUACUUUAUAGAGAUCAAUAUAUUAUGAUUCAUAUUAUAACUUAUAAGUAUCAAUCCUANNNNNNNNNNNNNNNNNNNNNNNNNNNNNNNNNNNNNNNNNNNNNNNNNNNNNNNNNNNNNNNNNNNNNNNNNNNNNNNNNNNNNNNNNNNNNNNNNNNNNNNNNNNNNNNNNNNNNNNNNNNNNNNNNNNNNNNNNNNNNNNNNNNNNNNNNNNNNNNNNNNNNNNNNNNNNNNNNNNNNNNNNNNNNNNNNNNNNNNNNNNNNNNNNNNNNNNNNNNNNNNNNNNNNNNNNNNNNNNNNNNNNNNNNNNNNNNNNNNNNNNNNNNNNNNNNNNNNNNNNNNNNNNNNNNNNNNNNNNNNNNNNNNNNNNNNNNNNNNNNNNNNNNNNNNNNNNNNNNNNNNNNNNNNNNNNNNNNNNNNNNNNNNNNNNNNNNNNNNNNNNNNNNNNNNNNNNNNNNNNNNNNNNNNNNNNNNNNNNNNNNNNNNNNNNNNNNNNNNNNNNNNNNNNNNNNNNNNNNNNNNNNNNNNNNNNNNNNNNNNNNNNNNNNNNNNNNNNNNNNNNNNNNNNNNNNNNNNNNNNNNNNNNNNNNNNNNNNNNNNNNNNNNNNNNNNNNNNNNNNNNNNNNNNNNNNNNNNNNNNNNNNNNNNNNNNNNNNNNNNNNNNNNNNNNNNNNNNNNNNNNNNNNNNNNNNNNNNNNNNNNNNNNNNNNNNNNNNNNNNNNNNNNNNNNNNNNNNNNNNNNNNNNNNNNNNNNNNNNNNNNNNNNNNNNNNNNNNNNNNNNNNNNNNNNNNNNNNNNNNNNNNNNNNNNNNNNNNNNNNNNNNNNNNNNNNNNNNNNNNNNNNNNNNNNNNNNNNNNNNNNNNNNNNNNNNNNNNNNNNNNNNNNNNNNNNNNNNNNNNNNNNNNNNNNNNNNNNNNNNNNNNNNNNNNNNNNNNNNNNNNNNNNNNNNNNNNNNNNNNNNNNNNNNNNNNNNNNNNNNNNNNNNNNNNNNNNNNNNNNNNNNNNNNNNNNNNNNNNNNNNNNNNNNNNNNNNNNNNNNNNNNNNNNNNNNNNNNNNNNNNUUUUUUUAAUAUAUUAAUUAUUUAUAUACAAAAAAAUAUGAAAUUAAAUCUCAAAAAUAGUGUUUUUUCUGUUAUCUUAUAGAGUUGCUUUAUUGGAGACAUAAAGUAGAUAUUUAUUCUUGUUAGUUUCUUUUUUAAUUUACUCCACAUUUUAAAUUAUUUUUAAACAGAGCCAGGAGAAUUUAAAAAAAAUAAGGUAAAGAAGUAGAAUGACGAAAAACGAGAAGAAAAAUGAAUUUGACGAAGAAACAAAACUGUUAAAUAUUUUAUUAGGUGGGAUUCAAAACAUUAAUCUUAUCAAAAUAAUAAAUGCUUUAUACAACUUAUUAGAAAAGAGCAAGCCUUAAUUUUAUUUCUUUAUUUUGAAGGAAAAAAGUUAUAAUUGUCUUUUUAAAAUGGGCAAAUAUUGUUGGACAUUCUAAAAUAAUAUAUUCCCUCUGUCCCAAAUUACUUGUCCACUUUUGAAUUGACACACCUAUUAAGAAAAUAAUUAUUGACAUAGUAAAUUUACCAUUUUACCCCUAUUAAUUAUGAAGUAAAUGAAUUAAAAACUUAAGAUUUCAAGAAUUUCUACCUUUUUCAAAGUAAUUAAUUGAGGGUAUAAUAGGUAAAAAAAAUUGUCCUUUCUUGAUUUGUUAAAAUGGAUAAGUAAUUAGGGACAACUAAAAAAGGAAAUGUGGACAAGUAAUUAAAGACAGAGAAAAUAGUAAACAACUAUUAUAAGACGGAGAGCAUUAAAGUUUACAGACAUUUCUUGAGUAAUUUCCCUGGAUAGUCACCCAUGUUUGGGAAAUUACCUUGAAAUAUCACUUAUGUUUGUUUUAGGACCACAAUAUCACCCAACUUACCUCUUUUCCUCAAAAUAUACUUACACAAAAAAACAUUAUCUCUCUCCUAAUAGGAUGUCAUGUCACACUAUUCCUUUUUCAUUAUUAACAUUUUCUUUUUAAAAAUUUAGACAACCCAUAUUACCUAGUAAAAAAAAAUAACAUAGCCCAAAAUUUCUACCUAGUUCUAGGGGAUUAGGCGGUCAAAUCCAAAUAUGAGCUACUCCGAUUCUUCAAGAAAAUAUGUGGCUUCCUCCGAUUUUUCAAGCGAGAUAAUGUUUUUAUAUGGGCACUAAUGGGCAAUGACACCUUUUUGUUGAGUCCGGAGCCAAAAGUGCAACUUUUUUUUCUUUAAAAAACAAAAAGGGCACAUCAAAAAAAAAAAUUAACCAAAAGGGCAAAAUCACUCCUGAGCGAUUUUGUUCUGACAAAAAUUGACGCCGCUCGGCUAAAAGAAAUAAAAAUCGCUGCCGAUUUUCUCAAAAAAAAAAAAAUUCUUUAAAAUUGCUGCUAUAACAACGUUUUUAUAUAAAAAAAAUUAAAAGCAAAAUCUCUGCUAUAGCAGCGGUUUUGUUUAGGAAAUUUUUUUAAAAAUGUUUUGAAGUUAAAUCGCUGCUAUAGCAGCGAUUUUGUUUAAGAAAUUUUUUUUUAAAAAAAAAAUCCUAUCCUUGCAGAGAAUUUGAUUAAAAUUAAAACUGAAGCCAGCGAUUUUCAUAAAAGCUUUUUUCAAAAAUCUUUACCCUUUCAGCGAUUUAAAUGAAAAUUAAAAAAAAAUUAAAACUGAAAAUCGCUGCUUCAGCAGCGAUUUUUUCUUUAAAAAACUUGUUUUUUUUUAAAUGGCUGCCGCCGGAAAUCUAUGUAAUUUAAAACUUGUUCUUUAGGUUUUUUUUUAAUUCCUUAACAAAAAAUCGCUGCUAUCACUUUUUUUUUUUUUUUUUUAAUAAAAACGCUGCUAUAGCAGCGAUUUUAAAGAAAUAAUGAUUUUUUUUUUGAGAAAAUCGUUGCCAAAUGCAGCGAUUUUUAUUUCUUUUAACGAAACGACGUCAAUUUUUAUCAGAAGAAAAUCGAUCCGUCAGAAGGGAUUUUGCCUUUUUGGUUAUUUUUUUUUUGAUGUGCCCUGUUUGUUUUUUGAAGGAAAAAAAUGACCCUUUUAGCUUCGGACUCCCUUUUUGUUGAUAUUUUAAUUCAUUAGAGUAAUAAGAUAACCAUACAGUCAAACUACAAAUGAUAUAAUGUUUUUAAAGAAUUUUAAAAAAUGUUAAUAAUAAAAAAGGAAUAAUGUGACAUGGCAUCCUAUUAGGAGAAAGAUAAUAUUUUUUUUGUGUCAAGUAUAUUUUGAGGAAAAGAGGUAAAGAUAAUAUAUUUUUUGAGUCAAGUAUAUUUUGAGGAAAAGAGGUAAAGUUGGAUGAUAUUGUGGUCCUAAAACAAACAUAAGUGAUACUCUUAGGUAAUUUUUCAAACAUGAGUGACUAUCCAGGGAAAUUACUCGACAUUUCUUAUAUAUUCAACCCAUUAAACGAGUGGCAUUACUUCUUGCUCUUAAAAAAUCAGUCCCUAAUUUUAUGAAAAGAAAAGGAAGCAACAUAAUAAUGAAGACAAUAACAGUUCGAUAUGAAAUUAAAUACUAUUAAAUGAAAGACUCAGAAAAAUACAAAAAAGUUGACUGACUUGGAAGUGUGAUUUGUGAACAAGAGAUUAGGCUGGAAGGGGCCAAGAACUAGAACCAUCGUUUCUUAACUCAACUAACUUAAACAAGUUCCUACUCUCUUCCUUGAUUCUAAUUUACGUGACACACUUUUUUAAAUCUAUUUUUAAAUAAUUACGUGAGAAAUUUAAAAAUUUAAAUAAGACAGAGAGGUCAAAAUAAACACUAUAUUAGUAUUAGUUCCAUCCUUUUCUAUUCAAAUAUUUAACAUAAUUAGUCCUUUUAUCCUGUUUAGUCCGUCUUUAAAAAAUGACAUAUUUCUUUACUUAGUAAUAAUUUAACUUUAAAAUUUUUAUUUUAUUCUUAGUGAAAUAAUUUAUAGCAACACAAAUUUUUAUGACUUAUUUUAAACAAUAAAUUUUAAAUAUUCUUUUUUAAACUUCGUGUCAAGUCGAACUAAUUCAUAUAAUUUGGACGGAGGGAGUAUAUGUUGUCAAUUAUUUCGUUAUAGGAAUAAAAUUGUCAAUAGUGACAUGCUCUUGGACAUUGAUCAUUCACCUUCUUCGAAUUAUUGAGGCAACUCAUCCUCCUUGUAAGAAUAGUAAAUAAUUUCAAGAUUGCACAAGAUACUUCAUAUAAUAUUUUAAAUGGAAAAACUACCUAAUCACACAUACAUCACUACGGAAAAACUACCUAAUCACACAUACAUCACUACCAUAUAUACUAUAUUUAUCUCUAGUUUAAAAUAAUUAUACAUAUUAUCACUUUUAAUAUUUAUACCAUAUAUUUUAAAAGAUUUUAUAAGAUACACAAAUUCCUUAAAUAUGGUAUUUGAUAAUUAUCUUAAAUUUAAACUCCUUAAUUAAUGGUCAUUAACAAGUUAAAUUUUUUCAAUUAUCAUCUGCCACCGCCGUUCCCCACUCCCAUGUCCAGCAGCACGUACACUUUCUUUCUUCUUCUUCUUCUCCCUCUUUAAUUUAUUCCGUCAUUCUCUCAAUACAUGUUCGCAUAUUUAAAUCAGUAUUUUAUAUAUAUGUUUGUUUCUAUUGUUUUAUUAUUCUUAUGUAUCUUGAUUUGGUAUCUGAGUUAAAAUUCAUAAUGUUCUUAAAGUUCAAUUUUAAAAAGUUUUACAAAUUAGGUUUUAUAUUUUUUGAUUUUGUUGUUUCUCAAACACUUUAAUGGCUGACCAUUCUUAAAAUCGGAUUAUUCUUGUUAAAGGUACUAUACAUUAACAAUAUUAUACUAAAUCAAACAAUUUUUAUUUGUUUAUUCCUACUCAUGAAUUUCUCAUUGCAGGGACUGACUCUUCAUCAUCCACAUUCAAGCCGAGAAUAGAUUUAAGUAUAGGGACGACUCAAUCAAGAUGAAAGAAUUACGUCAAGUUUUAAUUAACCAAACAAAUACACCAUUAGAUAUGCAAUAAUGUUGGAUACAAAUCAUAUGUGUACAUGUAUCUAAUUAAGAGUUCAUGUAUCUGACUUAAGAUUAUAUGUAUCUAUGAGAAAAAAAUUCAGAUGCUAAAAAGAGAAGAAUUUUGAAACUUUUUACCUUUUUGGAUUAAUGGUAAACAAAUACUCUACCAUCAUGAUUUUUCCUAAAUUCAUGAGUUUCAGUUACAUUUCAUAUUUAGAUACACAUAAUUAUAUGUAUAUGCUUAUUAUGUAUCCGAGAUACAUGUUUUGAAUAUAAUGUAUGAAACUAAUACUUGAUACAACAAAUUAAUACUAGAUACCUAUAAAAGAUACAUGAAACUAAAAUUAGAUCAUAUAAAUAGAUACAUGAAAUUAAUACUAGACACAUAUAAAAAAUACAAUUAAAUAAAUCUAGAUAAUUCAAUGAUACAUAUGUAUCUAAGUGUUUAGUUGGUUGGAUACACCAUAUAUUGCUAAUAGAUACAUCAAAUUAAUGAAUUUAUUAUUUUAAGAAUAAUAAAAUGAAAUUAAUCAAAUUACAUGACUAAUAUAUAAAUGUUUUUUUAAUCUUUUAUCAAUAAUAUUAAUGAAUUUAGUAUUUCAAAGAAUAAUAAAAUGAAAUUUAUUAAACAUACCUUGAUUUCCGCCUUAUAUUAAGGGAUUUGAUUAAUUUAAAAUUUUCAAAAUUAUAUGUCCAUGUAUUCUGAAAAUCCUCAACUACUUCUCUAAUUAAGGAAAAUCGGUUACAACUAAUUAAUUUAAACAAUAAAAUAUGUAUCUCAGUUUGAAAAUUCGGCAGAUACAUGUAUCUCACGGAUUCCAACUCGUGUAUCCUAAGUAUGAAAAUAUGGUAGAAGAAGUAAUAUUUGAAACUAUCGGGAAUUUUAGUAAUUAAGACCUAAACUAGUGGGAUUUAUGUAGUUUGGCCAUUUUAAAUUGACUUGGUGUGCCUUUAUUACAAGUUGUAUAAUUUCAAGAUAGCACAAGAUACUUCAUAUAAUAUUUUAAAUUGACUUGGUGUGCCUUUAUUAUAAGUUGUUGGCCUAACUCUAUAAUAUAAAGAAAGUAAUAGUAUUGCUUUUUUUUUUCGUGUGAACAAGUAUUUAAAAUAUUGCUCAUAUAGUAAAAGAAACGAGUUAGUAAGACAUCUUUAUAUAUGAGCCAUUCCGUGUACGAAAUAACGAUGACUUCUUUAGUUGCAUUUUUAGAGCUUGAUGGUCGUAGACUCAUAGCGUAGUCAUAAUUUAAAUUUUAUGAAUUUAAAAUUCUAAUUUUUUAAAAUUAAUGAGUUCUGAAUUAAUAAUUUGUACAUAUUUCAUAAUUUUUUAAUUAAUACAAAUAGAACAUUUGAAUCAAAUCAAAAUCCUAGCCCCACAUCUAUGGCUAGAUCAUUGUAUGAUUAACCAACUACUUCAAUAUGCCCUCUUAGACACAUUUUAAUUUCCUACUGUGGUGUCCCCACUUGUACUACAAAGACUCUUUCAAUUCAUGGCUUAUUAAUUUCAACAAUCCAAUGUUAGUUGAUUAUUAUAUUAAAAAUAAUUGUUUAAUAUUAUUUGUUCACCUUACUAAAUUAAGAAUUUUUUUUUUUUUAUGUUACCCUUGCAAUUAAUUUUUUUGAAAGUAUUCACAUUUGUUUGUAAUAUUUUCAAGAAGUUUUUUAAAGGGUGAAUUAAUAAAAUUAUCUUCUUAUUUAUGAUUUCUUAAACAUCAUGCAAAUGAAAAGUGAUCAUAUAAUAUGAAACAGAUAAAAUAAUAAAAAGAAAGACUGACUUGUUGACUUGUCUGCAACCCAAAAAAUCUGCUUAUGUAUAUCAUACAUCAAAAGGAAAUGAGUUGGUUAUAAAUACUUUUACGAGUCGUUUGAUUUGAAUUCAAGUUAUGAUGUGUGAUGAGAUUAGUUAUACUAAAAUUAUUUUUUAUUGAGUGUUUGAUUUGUUAUAUCAAAAUAAUAAAUUUCAAGAACAAUUUAUUUGUUUAUAAAAAUACACCUCAUGAAUGUGAAAAGUGAUGUAUAAAAAAGAUUUAAAGGGAAAUAACUAUAAUUAAUGAUAAGCGUAAAUUAGAAAUUAAGUAUAAAUUAUCCAUUAAUUUUAUAAAAUGGACAAAUAUUGUUGGACAUUCUAAAAUAAUAUACUCCAUCUGUCUCUAAUUACUUGUUCACUUUUGAAUUGAUACGUCUAUUAAGAAAAUAAUUAUUGACAUAAUAAGUUUACCAUUUUACCCCUAUUAAUUAUGAAGUAAAUAAAUUAAAAACUUAAGAUUUCAAGAAUUUCUACCUUUUACAAAGUAAUUAAUUGAGGGUAUAAUAGGUAAAAAAAAUUUAUCCUUUCUUGAUUAGUUAAAAUAGACAAGUAAUUAAGAACAACUAAAAAAAAUAUUGACAAGUAAUUAAAGACAAAGGGAAUAAUAAACCACUAUUAUAAGACGGAGAGAGUAUUAAAGUUUAAAGACAUUUCUUAUAUAGUCAACCCAUUAAACGAGUGGCAUUACUUCUUGCUCUUAAAAAAUCAGUCCCUAAUUUUAUGAAAAGAGAAGGAAGCAACAUACUCCCUCUCAUCCUAAUUACUUGUCCAUAUUUUUUUUUAGUUGUUUCUAAUUACUUGUCCAUUUUGACAAAUUAAAAAAAGACAAAUAUUUUUUUUACCCAUUAUACCCUCAAUUAAUUACUUUAAAAAAGAUUGAACUUUUUGAAAAUCUUAAGUUUUUAAUUCAUCCACUUCAUAAUUAAUAGAUAUAAAUGAUAAAUUUAUUAUGUCAAUUAUUGUUUUCUUAAUAGAUAUGUCAUUUCAAAAGUAGAAAAGUAAUUAAUGACAGAGAGAGUAAUAAUGAAGACAAUAACAGUUCGAUAUGAAAUUAAAGAAUGUAUUAAAUGAAGACUCAGAAAGAUACAAAACGUUGACUGACUUGAAAGUGUGAUUUGUGAACAAGAGAGUAGGCUGGAAGGGGCCAAGAACUAGAACCAUCGUUUCUUAACUCUCUUUUUUUAUUCUAAUUUACGUGACACGUUUUUUUAAAUUUAUUUUCAAAUAAAUUACCCGAGAAAUUAAAAUUUUUAAAUAAGACAAAGAGAGUCAGAAUAAACACUAUAUUAGUAUAAGUUCCAUCCUUUUCUAUUCAAAUAGAUAUUAAGCAUAAUUAGUCCCUCUAUCAUGUUUAGUCCGUCUUAAAAAAUGAUAUAUUUUUUUAUUUAGUAAUAGUUUAACUUUAAAUUUUUCAUUUUAUUUUUAGUAAAUAAUUUAUAGCGACAAAAAUAUUUAUGACUUAUUUCAAAGAAUAAAUUUUAAAUUUUUUUUCUUAAACUUCGUGUCAAGUUGAACUAAUUCAUAUAAAAUAGACGGAGGGAGUAUAUGUUGUCAAUUAUUUCGUUAUAGGAACAAAAUUGCCAAUAGUGACAUGCUCUUAGACUUUGAUCAUUCACCGUCUUCGAAUUAUUGAGGCAACUCAUCCUCCUUGUAAGAAUAGUAAAUAAUUUCAAGAUUGCACAAGAUACUUCAUAUAAUAUUUUAAAUUGACUUGGUGUGCCUUUAUUAUAAGUUGUUGGCCUAACUCUAUAAUAUAAAGAAAGUAAUAGUAUUACUUUUUUUUCGUGUGAACAAGUAUUUAAAAUAUUGCUCAUAUAGUAAAAGAAACGAGUUAAUAAGGCAUCUUUAUAUGUGAGCCAUCCCGUGUACGAAAUAACGAUGACUUCUUUGAUUGCAUUUUUAGAGCUUGAUGGUCGUAGACUCGUAGCGUAGUCAUAAUUUAAAUUUUAUAAAUUUAAAAUUUUAAUUUAUUAAAAUUAAUGAGUUCUGAAUUAAUAAUUUGUACAUAUUUCAUAAUUUUUUUAAUUAAUACAAAUAGAGCAUUUGAAUCAAAUCAAAAUCCUAGCCCCACAUCUAUUGCUAGAUCAUUGUAUGAUUAACCAACUACUUCAAUAUGCCCUCUUAGACACAUUUUAAUUUCCUACUGUGGUGUCCCCACUUGUACUACAAAGACUUUCAAUUCAUGGCUUAUUAAUUUCAACAAUCCAAUGUUAGUUGAUUAUUAUAUUAAAAAUAGUUGUUCGAUAUUACUCUCUCCGUCUCUAUUUAGUUGUUCACUUUAGAAAUGACACACAUAUUAAGGCAAUAAUGAUUAACAUAGUGAAGUUAUAAUUUUGUCCUUAUUAAUUAAUUAUGAUUCCAAAAUAAAUUUAUCCAAGAUAACUAAUCAAUGUUGGGGGAAGUUUAAAUUUUCAAGAAGUUUAAAUGAGGGUAUAAUAGGAAAUUUUUUUGUCCUUUCUUGAUUUGUCAAAAUUGACAAGUAAAUAGGGACAUCUAAAAGAGGAAAUAUGGACAAGUAAAUAGGGACGGAGGGAGUAUUUGUUUACCUUACUAAAUCAAGAUUUUUUUUUUUUUUAUGUUACCCUUGCAAUUAAAUUUUUUGAAAGUGUUCACAUUUGUUUGUAAUAUUUCCAAGAAAUUUUUUAAAGGGUGAAUUAAUAAAAUUAUCUUUUUAUUUAUGAUUUCUUAAAUAUCGUGCAAAUGAAAAGUGAUCAUAUAAUAUGACACAGAUGAAAUAAUAAAAAGAAAGGCUGACUUGUUGACUUGUCUACAACCCAAAAAAUCUGCUUUUGUGUAUCAUACAUCAAAAGGAAAUGAGUUGGUUAUAAAUACUUUUACGAGUCGUUUGGUUUGAAUUCAAGUUAUGAUGUGUGAUGAGAUUAGUUAUACUAAAAUUAUUUUUUUAUUGAGUGUUUGAUUUGUUAUAUUCAAAAUAAUAAAUUUCAAGAACAAUUUAUUUGUUUAUAAAAAUACACCUCAUGAAUAUGAAAAGUAUGUAUAAAAAGAUUUAAAGGGAUAUUUUUGUUAUUUACUUAUUUUAUCUCAAGAUAAAUUAUCUCGGAAUUACUAUAUCAUCCAAGGGGCCGGAGAGAUAAUUUAUUCUGGUACUAAUUAUUAAUCUCGCUCUCUUUUAUUUAAAAAACUAGAUAAACAAUAGCACGUGCUAAGCACAGGCCCAACACCUUGAAAAAAGUAGUUUUUUAUUAAUAAAAAAAAGGAAUCUCGUUAUGUCUUAAAUACAUUAAUUAUUCUUCAUUAAUCACAUUAAAUAUUUUUAAAAAACUACUAAGAUGAAUCUUUUAGGUAACUAAUAUUCCCUCUGUCCAAUAAUACUUGUUCACUAUUGACUUUACACGCUCUUCAGAAACUUUAAAUAAAAAGGUAAAUACAAUGUCUUGAAAAUAUUAUAGAGAAAUAACUAUAAUUAACGAUAGGAAAAAAAAAUUUGAUCAAAAAAAAUUUGGCCAUAAUUUGACUAGAAUGGUAAAAGGACAUGUUCGCACUAUAAGCUAGUUUGUUUUUGGACAUUUUUACCCUUUAACUCAAAUAUUGAAUAUAUUCUUCAAUUAUGUUUCCAAUGCAUUGAAAAUGAUUGAUUAAACAUUAAAAAUGAACCACAAAAUCCACCAAAGAAAACAUAAGUUUCACCCACUCUACCCUCUUGAAAUUUUCAAGAUCUAAAAAAAAAAAAAAAAUUGUUUUAAAAAAUAAUUUAAAAUGUAAGCAUAGUAGUAAAAAACUACAUAAUAAAAAAAGUAGUAAAAAUUAUAUCUCUUUUUCAGUUUCAAAAAUUCCUCCUUUUUACUUAUUCUUUUUUGUUUAUUUAUUUUCCAUUUCUUAUUUCUUAAUGAUAAAAAGAGAAAAUUUAAAAACUAUAAAAGAGGAAUAAAGUGUAGAUGAUCUAUUUUAGUUUAUAAUUUCUAAUCUAGAAAGGAUAAAUUAUAUCUAAAUUUAAAUAUUGAAAAUUUAUAUCUAUAAUACUCAAAAUUAAAAAUUUGAAAUUGGCCGAGUUGGCAAAAUAAUUACUCCUAUUUAUUUCAAGGAGUCGUUGUUACACAUCGAUUUCUAGAAAGAAGUUAAAUAAUAAAAAUAUAUUUUAUUUGAUUAUACUUAGAAUGUAUGUAGCGAAAUAUGAAGAAAAUUGAAACUAUAAUAAUGUUUCUCUUAUUAUGUGAUUGUCUUCAUAUCCUCGAUCGUAUAUGAAUUAUAUCAUACACAAAUAAAGACUCAUUAAAAUUAAUAUAUUUUUAUUUUUAUUUUAGUAUUUGAGACGUAUACAAAUAUUUUUUGAAUAAAAAUGUUGACGGCGCUUCAUUGAAAAAUUAUAAUAACACAGAAAGAAUAUAGAAAGUUCUUUAUGAUUUCAAAAUAAACUUUUAUAAAAAAAAAAUAAGAAAGAAAACAAUAUUACAUAGUUCUCCAAUGAUAAUGACAACACAAAUUUGUUAAGCAUGAACUAUCAAAGUUUCAUAACAUAUAUAUUUUUCUUUAUUAGCAUUAUUUGUUGUUUUAAUAAAAAAAAUGUUUGUUAUUAAAUGAUUUGUUAAAAUAUUAAGUUUACAUAGUUAUAGUCAUAAUAUUAAUAUUAUUUUUCCCUCAAAUUAACAUUUUUUUAAAACUGAUUAUGAAUUUUUAUAAUUAAGUAAUUUUUAUUGUAUUUAUUAUAUAAAUAGAUUUAAAUUACAUAAUUAAAUUACAUUUUACAUAAUUUUUUGAAUAUAAUGUAAAAUAAUUUAAUAAUAACAGUCAAAACUCAAAAUACUCUAGUUCAUAUGUAUCAACCCUAGAUAACAAACCAAAAGAGCCAAAUAUUAUAGUCUUGUGCCCCUGUUAUGUCAAUUUGAUGAUUUGAGAAUCAUUACUUAUAUUUGUUACUAAUAUGAGCUCUAAUUAGAUAAUUAUAGUAAUUAUUAGUAUGUUAAAAGAAAUUAAGCUAUGCAUAAAAAAUAAAAAUGGAAUUUGAAAAUAUUUCAAUAAUGACAAUCAAAAUUCAAAGUACUUUAGAAUUAGUCUACAUCGACACAUUAUAGAAAUACUUAAAAUCAUAUGGUUCAUAAGCGACGAUCCUAUUUAACAACAACCAAAGAUAGUUGCACAUAAUGUUGUAGUUUUGCAUAUUUGCUAAUUAUUAUGUUUUAAAAAAUUAAACUACAUAUUUAAAUAAUUAAGUGAUAUCCCUAGUUAACAACAAGCUAAGAGUAUUACAAAAAAAAAACUAAGAGAAUGUUUACGCAUUAAUGUUAUAGUCUUGCGCCUAUAUAUUAUACUGAUUUGAUAACUUAUGAAUUAUUAUUGAUACUUGUUAUUAAUAUGAACUCUAAUUAAAUAAUUUAAUGAAUUAUUGUGUUUUAAACAAAUUUAAAUUAUAUAUUACUAUUUUUAAUAUAAUCUGAAAAUAUUACAAUAAAAACAAUCAAAACACAAAACACUUUAUAGAGAUCAAUAUAUUAUGAUUCAUAUUAUAACUUAUAAGUAUCAAUCCUAAUUAAUUACACUAAACAUUUGUAUACUAUAUAUGUUCAAUUAUAAAUAGACCCUCUAUAUUUUGAAAUCAAACAUUCACAUCUUCUAUAUUAUAAAAAUCAUACAAUUUUUUCCACCAAUAAUGUUAUUUCUAAUUUCCUAAAAAAAAUAUAAAUAUUGUAUAGAAUGAAUGUUCUACGUAAAUGAAAUUCUAUCUAACUAAUUAUAUAUACAUAAUUUUAAAGCAAGAAAAUAAAUAAAAGGAAAUUAUAUAUAAUAAAUAUUACAUUUAAAUAAAAUUAUAAAUAAUGUACGUAUUUAAAUUAAAAGAAAGUUAUUACUAACCGUUGAUAUAUCUUAUUAACUUUUAAUAAAUUAAAAGAAAGUUAUUACUAACCGUUGAUAUAUCUUAUUAACUAAUUUGUAUCACUUAACAUUUUAAAAAAAAUAGUAAAUUUUAAAUUAUUUUUAAACAGAGCCAGGAGAAUUUAAAAAAAAUAAGGUAAAGAAGUAGAAUGACGAAAAACGAGAAGAAAAAUGAAUUUGACGAAGAAACAAAACUGUUAAAUAUUUUAUUAGGUGGGAUUCAAAACAUUAAUCUUAUCAAAAUAAUAAAUGCUUUAUACAAUUUAUUAGAAAAGAGCAAGCCUUAAUUUUAUUUCUUUAUUUUGAAGGAAAAAAGUUAUAAUUGUCUUUUUAAAAUGGGCAAAUAUUGUUGGACAUUCUAAAAUAAUAUAUUCCCUCUGUCCCAAAUUACUCGUCCACUUUUGAAUUGACACACCUAUUAAGAAAAUAAUUAUUGACAUAGUAAAUUUACCAUUUUACCCCUAUUAAUUAUGAAGUAAAUGAAUUAAAAACUUAAGAUUUCAAGAAUUUCUACCUUUUUCAAAGUAAUUAAUUGAGGGUAUAAUAGGUAAAAAAAUUGUCCUUUCUUGAUUUGUUAAAAUGGAUAAAUAAUUAGGGGCAACUAAAAAAGGAAAUGUGGACAAGUAAUUAGAGACAAAGGAAAUAGUAAACAACUAUUACAAGACGGAGAGUAUUAAAGUUUACAGACAUUUCUUAUAUAUUCAACCCAUUAAACGAGUGGCAUUACUUCUUGCUCUUAAAAAAUCAGUCCCUAAUUUUAUGAAAAGAAAAGGAAGCAACAUAAUAAUGAAGACAAUAACAGUUCGAUAUGAAAUUAAAUACUAUUAAAUGAAAGACUCAGAAAAAUACAAAAAAGUUGACUGACUUGGAAGUGUGAUUUGUGAACAAGAGAUUAGGCUGGAAGGGGCCAAGAACUAGAACCAUCGUUUCUUAACUCAACUAACUUAAACAAGUUCCUACUCUCUUCCUUGAUUCUAAUUUACGUGACACACUUUUUUAAAUCUAUUUUUAAAUAAUUACGUGAGAAAUUUAAAAAUUUAAAUAAGACAGAGAGGUCAAAAUAAACACUAUAUUAGUAUUAGUUCCAUCCUUUUCUAUUCAAAUAUUUAACAUAAUUAGUCCUUUUAUCCUGUUUAGUCCGUCUUUAAAAAAUGACAUAUUUCUUUACUUAGUAAUAAUUUAACUUUAAAAUUUUUAUUUUAUUCUUAGUGAAAUAAUUUAUAGCAACACAAAUUUUUAUGACUUAUUUUAAACAAUAAAUUUUAAAUAUUCUUUUUUAAACUUUGUGUCAAGUCGAACUAAUUCAUAUAAUUUGGACGGAGGGAGUAUAUGUUGUCAAUUAUUUCGUUAUAGGAAUAAAAUUGUCAAUAGUGACAUGCUCUUGGACAUUGAUCAUUCACCUUCUUCGAAUUAUUGAGGCAACUCAUCCUCCUUGUAAGCAAGUUGUAUAAUUUCAAGAUUGCACAAGAUACUUCAUAUAAUAUUUUAAAUUGACUUGGUGUGACUUUAUCAUAAGUUGUUGGUCUAACUCUAUAAUAUAAAGAAAGUAAUGACUUGAUUUAUUAUAUUCAGAAUAAUAAAUACACCUCAUGAAUGUGAAAAGUAUGUAUAAAAAAGAUUUAAAGGGAUAUUUUUGUUAUUUACUUAUUUUAUUUCCGGAUAAAUUAUCUCGGAAUUACUAUAUCAUUUAAGGGGCCGGAGAAAUAAUUUAUUCAGGUACUAAUUAUUAUUCUCACUCUCUUUUAUUUAAAAAACUAGAUAAACAAUAGCACGUGCUAAGCACAUGCCCAACAUGUCGGGUUUUGAUGCAAAUUUUUCCACAAUUAUUUUUUGGGUAAUAGACUAAACUCAAUCAAAGGUCUCCGUACUAAUACAGUAGAACAUGACAUUUCUAUUUACAUGUGUGAAAUAAAUAAUCAUAGCAAAAACACUUAUGUACAUUGUCAUGCUAUGCAUAUAUAAUUCUUUUAUCUACCAUCUGUGCAUAAGCACAUUUGAAUUCAUCAUUUCUUAUGAUGAGUCAUACAACCUUUUUUCAUCCAAAAACCACCAUAUGGAGAAGUUUAACAUGAAUACCUACAAAAGGCAAGUAAAUAUCAAUCAACCAAAAUUUAUUUAAAUAGAUGUUUAGCUAUUAUAGAAGUAUUGUAACUCACACAAUAUUAUUUUUUCAACGAUGGAGAAAAAAGACCAAGUAUCUUACCAAUCACAAUACACACUUCUAAACAAUGUAAAAAAACCAAUAAGAACUCCAAAUGUUUAUUCAAAUUACCAACCAAAAAAAGUGAUCCAACUGUAGAAAGUGAGGUAUAUAAAAACUGACCAUUGACAACUCAAAAAAUGCUCAAAGCUUGCAGUAUAAACUUUUCAGUUUCUCUAUAAUCCAAGAAUUAGAAAGAAAAUGUCAAGUUUAAGCUUUAUGUAUGAUUAAGCUCCAUUUCAUGUUGCAUCUAUGAAUGUGAAUCAACUCUUUAAAACUUAUUGAAAGUACAAAAUAUAAAGAAAAUAGAGUUAUAAGAACUGAUGUUUCUUUUUCUUCAAAAGGUGAAUCGAUUUUUAGGCUAUUGCAAACUACCUUAAAGAUAUUGAAAUCUCAUUUUAGAUAUUUCAAACAUGGACACAAUUUAAUGAUGUAUGAAUAAGCAAGUCUCACCUCUGACCUUUCUUAUAGAUCAACUAAUGGACAUAAUUUGAUGGUGUAUGAAUAAACAAGUCUCACCUCUGACCUUUGUUAUAUAUCAACUAAUUUCUAGAGAAGUAACAAGUACAUGUCUCCAGACCUGUAAUCAACAAGCUAAUCAUUAGUUGCGCUCACUUUAUUAAAAUAGAAAUCUAUAUUAACUUCAUAUACCUCAAAAAAAAGAAAGAGAGCUUUGUAACAGAAAAUAACCAAAAUCAAAAAAUAUGAUACCGUCCACAAUUGAAAGGUUAGUACACUACAACCAACAACACUCUUGUAUAAAUUUAGACUAUGGCAUGUCAUCAUUGACAUAUCGAGACAAGAAAAAGGUUUAAAUUAAUGAAAGGGUUAACUGCAUGGAUAAAACGCUGCCAAAUAAAUGCCAACAAAAGUGUAAAUACCUUUCAUUCAUCUACUUCACAGAAAAAAACAAAAGAUAUGAAUCUUCUAUUCAAAUUGUUCCUUUUUGACAGGACGAGAAGAAAUAAGAAAUAUUUCAACUUGGAUAUUUUUAUAUAAUAAAUAAACACAAACGUCUCAAUGAGAUAUAUCCAUAACUAAAUAUGCAGUGUCAGAUCGUCAACAUAUAAAAAUUCUAGUAUAAUCAAAUUUUUGUAGCACACAAGUCAAUCAAAUUUUGAAUUAUACGUGUAAAUUAAGAACACUUGGAAUUCAAUUUCCACCAAAAUCACAUAUCUAAACUCUACACUUAUUAGCUAUCAGACUACACUAUUGCCAUUGGUUAAAGACAAACAAUUUUUGACAAAAACUAAAAUCAAAUACUUGGGAAAGUAGUCAUUAACAGUAACAAGUCAAAAAAACAGUAAAUUGAUGGAUCCAAAGUAGAAAAUGAGUUCGAUUACAGAAGUAACAACCAAAAGGGGUCAUGCCAGUCAGUAUAUAUUCAAAACUCAAGAGGUAUAGGAAGAGUAUAUUCUUAACAGUUUGGAAUUUGAGUUGAUCAGCAGAAAUAAAGAUUUCCCAUCUCAGAAAACGGGACAAACAAGUUUGGUUUGUGGUUGGACGAGAGGGUAAAAAACCAACAUAAACAAACCCAACCAUCUUUCAAUAUUGACCUAAAAUGUCUUUAAAAAGAUUGUCUUUGUAAAAAAAUUGUCAAAUCUAUUAAUAAUAUCUUCAAGAAAGUUUCGAUUUUUGUUUUUUUUUUCCCCAAGAUUUAUUUUAUAGUAGAAAUAGAUAAAUAGAGUAGUAAGCUAAAGAGGGAAAAAGAGUAAAGAAAAAGUGGUUUUUAAAGAUUAAAAUGGAGUAGCAAAGAAGACAAAAAGGGAUCAGCUAAGCUUGACCCUUACAGAUUCUAAAUGAAUCCCAGUUGUAUCCCUCAAAUUAUACUAUUUUUCAUUACUCCAACUUCAUAAUGAUUUAGUUCUAAGUUAAAAUUCCUUCUUUUUAUGAGUUUGGAAGAAGUUAAUUGAGUUAAUAAAGUAGUCUUUGAUCAAGAUGAGUACAAAACUAUUGAACAUAAAGGUACAACCUUUAACCAAACAACAAUUGUGUACGUUACUUGCUUCUUUUAUUUAUUUAUUUAUUUAUUUAUUUAUUUUUGCCGUGAUUGACUUGAGCUUGAGAUCUCUGGUUCGAUUCAUCAAUGUUGGUGUCUCAGUCACAAAUUAAUAUUGUCCUCCAAAUAAUACCCCAUAGUUUCUACUCAACUAUAUCCGUAGUAUGAAGAUUUUGAUUACUCGAUCAUUCUUAUAAAUCUCAAUAUGUUUGGCUAACUACGAUGGAAUAGAGUCAUUCUAAGUAGAUCCCUUCUUACGAUAUGUCAAAUAGAGCGGAGUCAAUCAUAUAAUAGCACCAACGAAAAUUUCAGCAUGAAAAAUUCCAAGAAGAUGAAAUGAACUUACUUGGCAAAGGAGCAUAUAUAUGAACUGGCCCUUGAAGAAUCUCCUUGCCAAUUUAUAAACAUAUAGUAAAUAGAAACCACAGCAAUGAUAUUGACUCCACCGGUGAUCAUAGCAGAAAAGUGAAGCAUCAACACCAAAACCAAUAGUCUUAAACAACACUGGUACAAAAUCAUAUUGAUUCCAGUAAGUUGCUGGAAAAAUGGGAUCAUAAUUUGCCAUUGUGAGAUGUGGCCUAUAUUUCUCUUGCAACAAAUUCCUCCAAGCUAAGGGCGUUCAAUUUUCCUAGAGGCCUCACUUGCCACAACUAAAUCAUUGAACUCUUCAUCUACAUCUUCAAUUCCCCUAAUUCUCUUUAAGCUUAGCUUUGGCUUCGUCAUAGUUGUCACGUUCAAUCAUGGAAUUUGGGGAGGAACAAUGUUCCUACUGUGAUGAUCAAUGCCGGUACCUCCUCAGCAUACCCCAUGAAUCUUAGCAAAGAAAUAGGCUACCAAUUGUGAUGGACAGUUGAAAAUCAAUGUUGAGUGCUCCUGUGGGGCCAUUUCAAAUAGGUGUAGUGGAACAGACUGCAAUACAAUGAAACAAAAACAGCAACAAAAAAAUGAAAUUAAUUAAAGGAAGAAGACAACAAAUAGUUAGUCCUCUGUAUCAGUUUUAAUUGUUUUUAGUCUGAUUAGAAAAAAAUACUUCUUCUACAAGAUUCAGAUAGUAUUUUAAGUAAUACAUUAUACACAUCUUUAAUUUAAGAUCGCAGCUCAACUCCAAACAGUUUGUUGGACUUGCAGUAUGUAGACCACAAAUUUGUUGUUAUAAAAAUCAGUAGAUCUCAAACACUUGAGGCAGUUGAACAAUAUGUUGAACCAAAAUUCACAUUUGUAUUGCUUAUAUAAAAAUAUCCAGCUAGCAUCUUUCUUCCAAACUCUUCAUCUAACUUCCAAGCUUGCUUCUUCUUUGUCUCAACAAUGUACAAUUUCAGAAAAAUUUAACACAAAGAAAUAAUUACAGAAAGGGGUCUAUUACCUCUAACGCGUGUGGCGUUGGAUACUUGAGAAAAUCUGGAGCUUCUUGUUCAUAAACUUCCUACAUCUUCAAAGCUGUAGAAUUGAUUGAAUGAGGUUUACUAAAGCGGCAAAGACUUUUGCAAUGUCUUUUUGCGCAUUACUGGUAAAAUAUAUCAACUUUAAGGGGGAAAUUUUUCAUCCCCCGAGACUUGAAUUGCAAGCUUGCAAUUUAUGGCACCAGGCUUUCACUAUUACGAUAUGCUCAAGAAACAACAAACAAAUAUAAUUGAUGCAUGCAAUAGUAAAUACUUAAUUUUUAGAAAACUAACCUGUGUAUGAUAAUUUUCUUUUAGUUCUUUCCCUCACAGAUAAGGAUAUUAUGCAGAUCAUCCAAGAACUAACAUAUCUUUUUCUUCUCCAAAAUAAAAGCUAUUUUGGCUUAAAGCACCUAAAAUAAGUCGAUCCAAACGGGCACUAAUCAGGUAUGAUUUACCUUAUAGAAAAGGAGUAAAAGAGAAUUUUACAAUUAUCCUCAACAGGUGCUAUAUGAUGAUUAAGUUUGAUUAUGAUUAAUCCAGAAUGAAAGCAAUUUACAGUUAUUUUCACAGCAAGCUUUUGUUAGAAAUAAAGGUUACUCAGGGGUUGUGUUUAAUUGAAAGGCAUGCAUUCCUUAGUGCCUUUAGUUUAGAGAAAAAAUUGUGUCCAAAUAGUACUUACCAAUAAUCAUCAUGACAACUAAUAUGUAGAACUAUAAAAUUAGUUACUUAAAUUAGGCCAAACGUUGCCUAAUCAUUCCAAGAGGCUGAUUUUUUUAUGUUUUAGGUAGGACUAAUACGAAUAUAAAGUAUAAUUAAUUAUUAUGAGUCAUCUUAGAAAAGGAAAUGCUGACUGUUUGAUACAAUUAUCAAUUUUUUCCAGAUGCAAUUGCCAUCUCUUUUGGUACUUCCAAAUUUUAGUUUAGCAUUGUGACUGAAAAACAAAUAUGAAUAUGAAAACUUACGACUAAAACAUAUGUCAUUUAGCACGGAUAAGUGAUAACAUACAUAUAUGUAGAGAUUGAAGAGAGGGACCUCAUCUGCCAGAUUGCUACAGGGUGGUGUUUUGCAAAUAACAUAUAGGAUACCCAUAUGUGUUUGGCUCAAGGAAAGGAGACAUAUCAUGAUUAUGCAAGACCACCAAGAGAAAAGUCGAAAUGAAAAGCAAUAUGUAAGAUUUAUUUUCUAAAAAGCACCUCAAUCAUGAUAGAAUGUUGUCCACCUUUGGUUGUCUGUAUGCACUGCAUAGAAAAUAAAAACGUGGACCUAAGAUUAUGUAAAUGCAAUCAUGCUUAUGUAAGCUUGAAGUGGAAAAUCCGUCCAUUUUCAGCUUAAUUAAGUUUUGUCAUAUUUUAUUAAAGGUGUGCUUUACACUUAUUGUUAGUUAUGUUACCAUAAUCACGUACGUUGAAUGGUUACUUUUCUCCAUAAUAUAGGCCGAUUAACAUCAACUUCUAAAGUUAAGUCGACACUUGGAAAAACCAAAUAAGAUAAUCGAUUAGUCAAAUGAGAAGAUUGUUAUAAGCUAGAUUGGGGGAUCGAUUCAUACCUCAUAUCGUAUUCUUCCAUCUUCUGUGGAGGCGCAGCCAGAAUUUCUACCUUUUAAGAAACCUAAGAGUAUUAAAAAUUCCAGGUUGCAUUAUAUAUAGGAUAAUAUAUUCUUAAGAUGUCAACUUAUAGGUACAAAAGACCAUUACUAUCUUUUUUAACAUAUAGUUACAUAAAAUAGAUGUAUUUUUCAAAUCAUGUAAGGUAGCAUCUAUUUUAAACGGCAGUAUGCAUAGGAGAGUGAGAACAUUAUAGAUAGCCUCUCUUUUAAUGAGAAAACAUUUGGUUUGUUUAAGUUUGCCAAUUUUGACAGUUCCAAGUAAAAAAGAAUUGCAAAAAAUUCAAAGUACAUAUGCAAUGUCUAGAGUGCAAUAAAGGCUUCUAAGGAACCAAGUAACCAUCAUUACAUUUGAAAAACUACAAGUUCAGAUUACCACUAAGUAAAUCAAAAGUUAAAAUAUAAGGUGUUUCCAACCUAGUCAUGGCACUGUUGACACCCAAUUUUGACCAUCCACACUAUAACUUAAUCAUCAAGCUUCUUCAAUUUUUAACGAUUUAAAAUAAUAAGUUUUAUAAUUCAAAAAUAAAAUAAAAUAAACAUAGUUUGCAAGUUAUUUUAAAUUAGUUUUGUCUACUUUUAAUAUAUAUAUAUAUAUAUAUAUAUAUAUGUUUUACAUAGUUAUGUAUAUAAUUAAUGCAUUUUAUGAAUAUUCAAAAAUCAUCUCAAAAAAGAUUUUAUAUUUUUAAAUACUUUAUUAGUAAGGGUCAUAAUUUUGAAUUAAUGAAUUUUAUGGAAUUCAAAAUACUUCAAGUUAUUUUUAGAGUAAUUUUAUCAUUUUUAAUAAUUUUAAAUAAUAAAUAUGUAUAUUUUACAAUCACGUGAUUUUAUAAAUAUUUGAAAAUCAUCACAAAGAUUUUACAUUUUUAGUGAAAUAUUUUAUUACUUUAAGUUAUAGUUUCGAGUUAAUUAGUUUGUCAUUAAAUUAAUUAUUUUUGUAAUAGAAAUAAUUAUUAUAUUUCGUUAAGAUUUAAAAACUCGUUAAUUAAUUAAUAUUAAUUCAUCUAAAUUAAACUCAAUAUGUUUACCUUUUAAAAGAUCUAACCCCUUUUCUUAGUUGGGCCAAAAUCAGCAGCCCACUUUUGCAUUUUUCAGCCCAUUUUUGCAUUUUUCAGCCCACUUCAGCAGCCCAUUAAAAUACAACAACAUAUAUCAACCCAUUAAUGCCUCCAAUUUCCAGCCAACAUUCACCAAGAACUCAGCCCAAAAACCCAUUCAUUUCAAUACCCAGCAACAAUAACAUACCAACAAUACCCCCACCCCUGUACCAGCGUCUUCCUCUAGCGAAGAACGUGACCAGACGCCAGACGAAAUCCCAGCGAAAAUCGCGCUGCAAACCCAAAAAUUUCGCCUAACUACCCUACAUAACCCAUACCCUAGCAGUCUCAAUGUCAACCUUCACGUCCUCUCUUUCCCCCCUUUUCACGGAAUACAACUUUUUUCCCAUGCCUUUUACUGUUGGUCUUGAAAAGAAGCAAAGAAAAUUUCAAAUUUUUCUUUCAAAAAUUCAACGGAUUUCCCCCCUAAUUUCCAUCUAUUUUAAUCAUUGUUGGGGGGGAGAUUUUUUUUUUUAGUUUGAGUUUUCCUCGGCAAAUAGUCGUUUUACGCUUAAAAUAUUAUACUUAGCUUUCGAAUUCGAAGUUCCGAGAAGAUAGUCACUCAAAUUUUCUUAAGUUUGUCGUUCGUAUUCGAAGAAAUCACUGCUUUCAAGCUCGCUUUGUUCUCAGUUUGCUGUCUCAAGAAAGGUAACCUCAUUUACCUUAACUCGUUUUAGCUGGUGUUUUAUUUCUAAUUAAAAGUUUACUGUUGAACUCUUGAGGUAAAUUUAUACUUUGGGCGUGGUUGAUCAAUAUUAUGUGUCCUCUUGCUUGAGCAUUCUGUUGAAAAAAUGGUAUUGAUUGAGUGCAUUAUAAUUAUUGUUCAUAUUGUUGACGAUUUGAGUUAUGUAAAACCAGUUAUUCAAUGGAAAAUAUUUUGACGUAAAGGGGGGGCUCACUUUUGUUUGUUUUAUUAGUCUAUGUUCAUACCCAAAUCUUCUUUGAGGGUUUUGGUGUUACUUUACCAAUUGAAGGCAUUCGAAUCUUACAGUGAUGUCUUUUCCAUGUAGGAUAUUUUUCUCUAAUCUCGUAUCUUAUUUUCUCACUCUGGAAUGAUAUUACUAUAAGCCAGAAUGCUUUAGAAUGAUAGCUUCUCUUUUGUUCAAAAUUACAAAGCUAUGUUCUCUGCAAAGUUUCAUUUCUUAAAUCUAGUUUUUUUUUUAUUGAGCAUGUUGCAAUAAGUUUCUCUGUACUGCAUUUCCAGCAUCUAUUUUUGUCUAUUCGGUUUAUUCUCUCCUUCUAUUAGUUGUAUAGUUCUUUACUUUCUUUAAAAAUGUCCUUGCGGGCUACUAUGGUUAAUUCUUGCUGUGAUGUGAAGUUAGACCGGCGAUAUUAAGUUGUAAAGGAUAAUAUUUUUCUCUUGAUUCAUGCUCAGUCAAAGUCUCUUUGUUUAGUUCGGGUGAUUCUCUAUGUAGCAAUUUGUGAUAUUUAGUUUGGUACCAACACUUCAUAAAUUUAUCAUUUCAUGUUUUACUUUAGAUUUUCCUGUCUAUUAUGGUGUAAGAAAUGUUCUAUUUAUAUAGAUACUUACUAAUAUAUUUGUUACUCAAUAGUUGCCGUAACUCAUAUAUAACAAUAAUAUUUCUUCAGUUUUUGCGUAUUUGUUUUAUAAUUGAUAGAUAGUAUUCUGCUUGCUCCAUUCCUUGCUAAUAAGUCACUAAGGUUAAUGUGUUUUUUUUUUCUAAAUUAGCAUUACUUGUUAGAUUCUUGUUUAAAUGUUGGUGCUUAAGUCAAGAUGUCAAACCUUGUUUAGUUUUGUUUGGUGAAUGUUUUCUUUAAAAAAAUGGAAUCAUAAGUGCAUUUGCUGAUAUAAUACUCCCGUAGGUAUAUGUUUUUAAAUUUAGUGGUUUGAGCAAAUCAUUGAUUAAGGUUGAGUGGAUAUAUUCUAUUUUAUAUAGUUUUCCUUAUGUUGCUUUUGGUUUUAUUGUUUUCCACUCAUGUGUUCAUGAUUUAUGCAUUGGUCUCUACAAAAAAAGCAUUUUUUUAUGUAAUUUUGAGUUGUUAUUAAUUCAUUACUCCUUUCUUUGUAUGCAUACUUGAGUUUAUUCAUUGACGCGCCUCCUUGCAUUAUAUUGGGCUAAUUAGCCCAACCUUCUACUCGAGUCGGCUUUCUUCCCUGUCUGAAUUUCGAAAGAUGAAACAGUUGAGAAAGGAGUUGCAUUACAAGUCCUAAAGGCUGAAAACAGGCUGAAAUACAUCAUGUAUACACUGAUAUACAUAUCAAUGCAGCAAAUACGUGACUAAAAAUGGGAAUACAGGUCGAAAAUGUGGGAAUACAUGGCUGAGGUGAAAUACAGGUGUUCGGAAGCAAGAGAUACACGAAAAGAGCUGAUAUACAUGCCGAUAUACACUGAUAUAUAUCAGUUGUAUACCAAAAAAGGGGUUUUGUUUAAACCCCAAAAAGUAGCAACGAAUUUGUUCCAAGAAAGGCCCGAAUUCAACUUCUCUCCGUUACUCCUAAAUUAUUUAAUUGCGAUUACUUAUUAUUUCUUGUUUAACUCUAACUUUAGAAUUUUUAAUUAACUUAAUUAGAUUCCCCAAAAGAUGAGUUAUUUUAUUUGUGUUGGUUUAAAUCUAAUAUAUUUUACGUUGUUGUGUUCACUUAUUUUAUUAAUCAAAUAUUGGUCGAAUUUUAAAUUUUAAUUAAGUAAAAUCUUUGUUCUUAAAAAGAUAUGUUUUAAGGCCGCUUCACUUGAUCACAUAUUAUUUUUAAAAUUGUUUAAGUUAAAGUAUUUUUCUCAAAUAAAUUUAAAAAAAAAAUGUUAGUCAAAACUCUUUUUUAAUUAAUUAAUAAAUAAAUAAAUACUUACUCAAUCAUUUGCUCAAAAGUUAGUCAAAACUUUUAUUCUUCAAUUAAUUUAAAAUGAUUUACAUGCUUUAAUGUGUUAAAAUGGUUUAAUUUAUUUUAAAAUGAACUAAAUAAAUUCUAAUUAGUCUAGUUUUAUUAAUUUUCUAAAUCACUUGCACCCUAAUUCAAAUGUUUUCAUUUUAGGUUUCUUCCUCUAAAAAGAUAGAAUAAAAUGGUUCAUUUCUUAAUUAUUUUCUCAAACUUAAUCGAAUAGCGUAAAUUAUUAUAUAUUUUUUUAUGUUAAAAUAGUUUUUCUAAAAAAUAGUCAAAUACAUUUUAGUCAAGCCAUAUGUCAAUCGCAUGUUAGCGGACACUUCGAAUGCUUAAACUUUUCUCAAAGUGUAAAUUGAACCCCGAACCUUCUUUCGUAUUUUCAAAUGAUUUUUUCUGUUUAAAUUUUUGAAAAUUAUAAGUUUUCUUAAUUUCUUUAAAAAAUUAAGUACCGACUCUUUCUAAGUAUUUUUCUCAAAUUGUUUUAUACUUAGAAUAUCUCAAAAAGUGAUUUUCCUAAGGCUAGCAAAAUUACGGCACAACAGAAAUGGCGACUCCGCUGGGGAGUUAAUUAAGUUCUAACCAAAAGAUUUGACUAUUUGACUAAUUAUUACUAAUUGCUGAAUUAUUUAUUUGUACUUAAUAUGCUUAAAUUGCUAUAAACUGUUGCUUUCAUGGGAUAACAUAUUCCGUCAAACGACGCUUAUUUUCUAAUUUUCACUCUAAGGACGAUUAUGCAGGCCGCAAUCGUUCGUUAACCAAAUUGUUCUCGGGGCACCCUGACAAAUGUAGUUGGCUACUGGAUAGUCAACGGUCGUUAAUUGUCCCAGCCCAAGUAGUAUGCUUGGGUCACCAAUCCACUUUAAAGAAAACUCAAUCUUAGUCAUACUAGUAUAGAGCAAGACCAAAUCCCUGAAAUUUAGCGCAUUGGCCUAAGAUGACCCAAUAUCCAAGGCGUGUCGGGUCCAUUAGAAAGACUACCUUGAGUUCAAAAGGCCCACGGCCCGAACAGACGCUCAUACUUACGUGUUUGAAGGAUAUAUGUGUUAUUUGACAAAAUGUUGUGUCUUGGGUUUAAGGGGUAUCUAAUUAUUUGUAUGUUUUUGAAGAUAACUAAGCAACACUUGAGUUUCAAAAUGGUCACCGAGAAGCCAAACCUUCUCCGUGUGUGGUGGUACAAUCUCAAUGCAUAUCAGAAAAGAGAACUUUCCAUUCACUUAGGUCACCUUCCGUCGAUAAUGAAUCUCAAAGUCUGGCCUAAGUUCAUUGAGGUGGUCACUCGAUUUUGAGAUGGUGAGAGGAUGGUGUUUCGCUUCGGUGAUGUUGAAAUGACACCAACUGUUGAACAAAUCAAAGAUUGCCUAGAAAACGUCGAAAUGUGCCAGAAAAGGAAAAAUUAUCCAGAUCAUCACAUUUUGCUACCAGAUAAGCCAACCAGCACAGAACUGAAAAACAUGUUGUUAUUGAUAAAUGCAGACUGACUAGACACCCCGAGUAUUCCAUUUGUGAAAUUCUAUGAACGAUGGGGUCGCGAGAGUUAUUAUAAGAAUUUUCCAAAUGAGUUUCACAGCCACAAUAGUUAGAGUCAAACUCAAACUCUAUUAUUUGUCGUAUGCUUCUUAGGGACGAUGCUAUUCCCUCAAGCCGAAGGGAAUGAAAUUGAUACUCGGGUUGUCAUGGUUACACACGUCAUCUUCGAGGGCGUUAGUAAGAAAGGACGAGUUAAGAAAUACUUCAACCUAGCCCCGAUCAUUCUGGCCGACAUCUACCGAUCUUUGGGUCAAUGCAAAAAUGGGUUUCCAUUUUUUCAAGUUUGUAAUAUUUUGCUACAGUGGUGGAUAUCUAAACAUCUAAUGAAGACAUACGAGACUCAGAAACAGAAAUAGGCCGAACCACAAAAAGAAAGCCACCUUGACCAUUACGAGUUUCAUUUGAGCCUCAACAGGUUCAAAAUCCACAGCACUAGGAAAGCUUGGGCCAAAGUCUUCCACGACAUAAAAGAUGGAAACGUACAAUGGAUGUUUCAAGAUUUCAUGUCAGAAAAAAUAGCUAUUCAGGGGGCUAAAUGUCAUUUCCUAAUCCUUCCUGGCAUUAGAAGGGUACGACCUUACAAUCCUAAUAGGGUAAUGCGGCAAUUCGACAGAAGACAGAUUCUACCUUUCAAAUGAGACACUAGCCGCUACGUCUUUGACUACAACGGGUGUGACAAGAUACCUCACGCCAAUGAUAUUUGUCAAGAAUGGGCUAGAUGAGUCAACCUAAAAGAGAGCAUGGUAGAAACUAGAUAUGAAGUCGGGUAUGUGGAUGAAUACAAAAAAUGGUUGCAGGAUGAUUUGCGUGAUACACUUGACCCGACGCCACGCACGGGCCAACAGAUUGAAGAUGUCCAGGUAAGGCUCCAAAUCCAAGCCUACAAUUUUCAACAGGAAUGAGAUCGAAGAGAGCAAGAGUUUCGGCGUAAGGAGCAAGAAUACCUGCAUAGGGAACAAGAGUUCCAGCAUCGAGAAUAUGAAAGUCAAAGAGCAUUAGCCUUUGCCACGCAAGAGUUAGCUGACGCGAGAGCCUGCCUGAUACGUUUGGACUUGAACUUGGAUGAUCAGCUUAACACCCUCCAGGGCAUGUCGAUGUCUUCCAAAGCUGUGUUCGCUGAGCCGCAUGUGAUAACGAGCAAGUUCCUCAUUCGUGAAGAAGUGGAAAAAGUGAGAGGAGGAGCAGGCCCUUCAGCAUUUUAGUUAUCUUAUUCCCUUGUGUGGGACUAAUAUUUUUGUAUUUGCAGUUUAUCCCUUUCCUAAAAGAUGUAUCCCUUUGCUUAGCUUUGUAACGAAUUCUCUAUUGUUUAUGAAUCUUAUUUCGGGGGAUGCAACAAUGUGUUUUAAAAAGGCGCAAUACAUCAUUCAAAUCGCUAGGCCUACCCUGGUCAUAAAAGGGUCACAUGCAUGUUUAUGACACGAUAUUUGUGUGACUUAACUGUUUAUGUGAUAUGUUGCUUUAAAUAAGGACAUUUUUAACCCACUCCUUUUCAAAAUUUUCUGAAAAUCUCCACAAAUACAAGUCACUACCAAAAUUCUAUGAGUUUUGAGUUUCUCAGCCAAAAACAAAUCCCACUCUAUCAUCUCAUGAAAGGUAAAAUUGCAGCUAAGAUGGAAAAAGGCAAGAGUAUCGAUGUAAAGCUGACUGAAGAGGAUUUGAGGAUGGAAUUGCAGCGGCUCAGACAGGAGAUUCAAGAAACCAGAGAAAUGAGAAUAGAAGUGGUCGGUUAAAAUUGGAUUCGUCAAUUUCAUUUUCCUCGAAUUUCUUUCAUCAAUCCAAGUCAAACGAAGGACAAUUAUUGACAUCCAAUUUUGGACCUCCACAAUAUAAACUAAUCAUCGAACUUCCUAAAUUCUAAAUGAUUUGAAAUAAUUGGCUUUAUAAAAUUAAAAAUAAUUUCAAGUCAUUUUAAGUAGUUUUGUCAUUGUUAUAAAUUUUAAAAUAAUAAAUGUGAUAUUUUAUAUAAUUAUGUGUCUAAUUAGUAUAUUUUAUGAAUGUUCAAAAAUUGUCUCAAAAGGAUUUUAGUCUUAUUUAAAUAUUUGGUUAUUUAAUUUAAGUUAAUUAAUAGCUUAUAUUUUGAGUUAAUUAGUUUAUAAUUAAGUUAAUUAUUAUAUAAUUAUGUGUCUAAUUAGUAUAUUCUAUGAAUAUUCGAAAAUUGUCUCAAAAGGAUUUUACCUUUAUUUUAUUUGAUUAUUUAGUCGUUUACAGUGUUAAAUUAAUUAGUUUAUAAUUAAGUUAAUUAUUUUAUUUUAUUAAGAUUUAAGAAGCUCGUUAAUUAAUUAAUAUCAAUUUGUCUUAUUUAAUUACUAGCCGAAUCUAUCUCAACUAAAUCAAAUUGGCUAAGAUUUUCCUAAUCCCCUUACAACCAAACCGACCCCACCCUUUAUUCUUUUUCUAGCCAAUUCCCUCUCCCUUCACAUUAACAAUACAAUACAUACAUGUACCAACCGACCCAUUCCAAUAAAAUAAUAACAACAACAGCAUACACCAAACUGACCCCACUCCUUUUUCCCUUUUAAUUUCUAACAUACAAUACAUACAAUUCCAAACAUUCAUACAUAUAAUACAGCAAACAAAUCAAACCGACCCCACUCGUGUUCUCCUUCUUCUUCAUCAAAGACCAAAACGUUAAAGCAGCAACAUCUGUGUAUAGCAGCAACGUAGCUCACAGCAGUAGCAGCACACGCAACGCCCAAACGACCCAUACGUGAUUUCUUUUUUUUCACGCGUCAAAAUAGACGGAAAACUGCCAAUGUCUUCAUCAACAGUGUAGCAAAACUUGCAAUUACAUCCUGUAGCAGCUGCGAAAAAUCACCCUUGACUCGCGUGGAUGGGCGCCACGUCGAGCACAAGGGCGGUGGGUUCGAUCUAAGCCGUCCACGUUGAUCCUUUCAUCCAGAUUUCAUGGGAUUUGGGGUGAAAUCUCGUGCAAAUCCAACUACCCCCUAUUCUGGAUUUUUGAAUUUUGAAACCGAAGGAGAAUUCCAUUUUUUGACCUUUGUUCCAAUCCGAUUUUCAUCCCGUGAACUCCCCUAUAAAUACCCUUCAUCUUCAUUGUUAAAAGGGUUGGAAAUUUUUAACUAAGGAAAACAUAAUACUUUAAGGAAGAAUAGCCAAAAUACAUUCUAAAUACUCUAAAAAAAACAGAGAGAUUUUCUUAUUCGUUGAUUUGUGUCCGAGUUUUGUGGAAGAAGUCACGUUCCCCUGCUCGUCUCCCAUGUUCGCUACCCGGAGAAAGGUAGCUUUUUAUCCUUCGUAACUUUCUUUUGCCUCUUCCUUCUAUUCGAAAUGAUAUCGUGAUGUUUGAAAUUUAUAUUUUUGGGUUGCUGGUUGUUGGCUGCUAUUAAAUUGAUGUUGCUUGUGUGAUAUAUCCAUUCUUGUAUGAUCCCGUUAGUUAGUCGAGUCAAAGUUAGUGAGUUUGCAUCUAAGUGUUGAUGUUUCCAGUCUAUUAGAUGUGACCAUUCUUUUCCUCCGUUUUCUUUAAAUUUUCGUGAUUAUGUAGCAAUUAUCUUGUCAUGUUUGAACUAGUUUUGAUGUUAAGAUUGCAUAUUUGAAAUUCCAUUGUGUUGAACUUUUCAUGAUUUACUAAUCAGUGACCUUCAUAUGAUUUGCAAUCAGUUUAAGUACGGUAUGAAAUUAGUAUAUUGAUUUUUCAUAUUCGAUAAAGUUUCCUAUGUGUAGUUAAAAUAAUAGCAUGUUAUUGUUAAUAUUCUUCAUCUGUCACGCUUGGCUAUGAGUUUAUUCCAUCGUUGUCACUGCUUCUUUUGUUGGAAAGCUCCAAACUCUAUUGCUUUUAAUUAUUUAGUCCUAAUAUGCUUUUAGAUGAUAUAACAUAUGUCAAAAUAUGGUUAAUGUCUACAGUAUUUCUUUUGUUAAAACUGAAGCUGAAAAAAUAUAAUAAUAAUAAUAAUAAUAAAUAAACAAGUGGUAAGAGCGAGAUGAGUAAUUUUCAUAUUUGGGAGCUUGUUAUUCUGGAAAUGGACAUAUGUGUAUGUAGGCGUGCAUGAGUUUGUUAGUUAUAAUUGCACAUGAUUAUGAAAUAAGCAUGGUCUGUUGACUUCUCUUUAUAUAUAGUAGAAUAAUAAUGGAGUGUAGGGUAUAACUUCCGUUUUACUUAAAAAAUACAUGUUGUGUGAAGCGUGAUAUUUUACAAAUCUCAUUGUGCUCUCAUAAUUAUUUUCUGUCAAUUGAUUGCUAUGUUAUUUAAUUUCAAUUUAUUCAUUUUGUUUUAUUAAGUACUAGAAGAGUGAGUAAAGAUUUGGAUAUCGACAUGUGUGAUUACUGUAAUUAUCUAUUUUUUAUGAUGUUUGUAUUUUCAUUAAGUGUUGCUUUAGGCGUUAAUCCUUUCAUAUUUUUACAAAUAAUCUCUCUUUGGUUCUAAUUUCCAUGGCACCUCUUGAAUUGGUUAAUUUUAAAUAAAUUUUGGCAUAAAAUUUGUAAUAAUGAUAAUAGGAAAAUUUACGUAUUUGAAAACUACGCAAAAUAAAAUAAAAAUAUUGCAAGUUAUAAUAAUAAACCACUCUAAAAUAUAUAAAAUGCAUUUUGACUAACCGUUUAGAGUGUAUUUUUCCAUCUAAAUAGUACUUUUUAGAUAGGUUUUGAAUAUCUAUGUUUUAAAUUUAAAUAUUAAUAUUUUAAUCUGAUUUAAUUUCAAAAAUUUAUGACAAGCAUUUGAAAUGAAGGGAGUAGUGAAUUACCUCCUUAUUUAAACUACGUGACUAUUUUUCGAAAACUAUGUACUUUAAUUUUUAAAAAGUCUAUUGGACUUAAUCAUAUUGAUUUAUAGUUAACCUGCUUACCUUUAUAUUGUGAUAUACAUACUCCAAUCACAUAUAAAAAUAUUAUUAGUAUAAGAGGCAAUUGCAAAUAAUUCAGAGCAUCAAAUUAUGAUAAUAAGUUCUUUUUUAAAAAUAAAUAAAUAAAUAAAUAAUAAUAAUAAUAAAAAUAAAUUAAAUGUGAAUAGAGAUAGGGAAUAAAAGAAACCUCUAUUAAUGGAAGCAAAUUGAACCCUUCAUUUCAAUUAUAAAAGAUAGUGAUCAAUCCUUUAGUUUAUACUCUUCUAUGUUAUUAAAUUAACAUAUAUUUUUAUGUAGGACCCGUGCUUGCACGGGUUUGCCGUCGUCUAGUACUUGAAAUAUGUUUAAGUAUGUGCCCUUGGAUACAUUACUGUUUACUAUUUUAUAAUCGAUGAAUCAUGUUAUCGUUUAGAGCUAAGGUGUGAAAGAUCUUAUUAAUAUUGUAUACUAAUUUUUUUUCAUUUUCUUGUUGCAUGUGAAAUCUGCCUGAGUCCUCAUGGAUUCUAUCCUUGCAUUUUCUCAUAGGGCCACAAAGGCCCAAUCCUUUAUUUGAGUCUACCGACCAUUUAAAAUCGACGUACAGGUGUUCGGAGCAGAUACACGAGAUUUGUAUACACUAGUACACAUCUAGUGUAUACGAAAGAGGGAAAUAGGCCUAAAGGACCCAAAUUCCGCACAAAAAAGUUGUAUUUUGUUAUUUUGAGCCUAAGCCCUUGUCCUUUUAAUUGCUAUUAUAGUGUUAGUUUAGGACAGGUACAAGCGAUUCAAAUGGGUCAAAGACCCAAAAUGAAAAUGAGCCCAAAUACUGGCCUAGACAGAUAGGAAAACCAGAUUUGGGACCAAAUCUCUAUCUCUCUUUGCUUUAUUGUGUUUGUUUACUUGUUAAUAUUUGUUGUUAAGCUUAAGGUCGAAAAAUUCAAAUCCCCGAAAGACACCUAUUUCGAAUUAAUUACUUAACUAAAUUAUUCAUCUUUUACUCAACUUAAAAAAUAAAAUAAACAAAUAAGUUUACAAAAUAUUUCGCUUAGAUAUAUUUCAAUAUUUUCCCCUUAAAAUGGUCUUAACUACAAAAUAGUUCAAUUUUGCAAUUCAAGCUAAGUUAAGAUUAUUUUUAGCCAAAUAAUUAAUCGCCGGAUAAUUGCGUAUUAGUGGGCAUUUUGGGUGCUUUAAACCCCUUCCCAAAAUGCUAAUAAGAACCUCAAACCCUUUGUAUAUUUUCAAUUGAUUUUUGUUUAAUCUGUUGAAAAAAUCGAUUUUCUUAAUUUCACCUUAAAAAUUAAGUGGUGACUCUUAAACCAGUCAAAUCUAUCAUUUUUAAACAAAAUGGGCACUACUACAAAAAAAACUUUUUAACAGCUAAAAAAACCUUAUAUUUUGUUGAUAAAUAUUUAUUUGUUGCAGUGGCUAGAAACACUAUAACAAAUUUCUUGAUUAUUUAUAACGUUUGGCUAAGCAAUCUCUUGAUAAAUAAUAACGAAAUUUAUUGAUGAUUUUCGAUUGUCAAACAAUUUCUUAGUCAACCAUGAUAAAUGCCGGAACACACAGUUCUUUGAACAAGUGAAACAGUUUCUUCUUCUCUUUGUUACGAUAACAAACUUCUCCAAAGCCACUACAUUCUUUUGUAGAAACUUCAAAGGUUCAAAAAGUUUACAAAACUCUGCUUCAAACCACACCUUCAAACGUGAUAUUAGGUAGCCGACAAUCUUAACAUUCUUGAGAUUGGAAAACAGUGUUUGAAAUCCAACUCGGCAAAUUGAUGUUAUAUAUCAACUUCGGCAAAAUAUAUAUCCUAGCUCAAGCUGGCAGGGGAUAGUAAAACUCAACUUUGAUGUGUAUGUUGAGUGACUCUAAAAGAGGCGAGGUUCGCAAAAGGCUGGCUAUUUCAUACAUAUUUUCCUUUUUUACAUGCAUUUACAGAGUUAGACAUUUGCAUUUCAAUUCUGGAAGCAUCACUUCGUCAAGUACUCAAGUUUCAUCAUGAACACAAUCUCUGAAAAUCAUCGUCCAAUUAUUAGCUCGGUUGCGUAUCUCAACUUUUAAAGGUAGUCCAAAAUAAGGUUUCCGAUAGCUUAGAAAGGUUGGAGAUCACCUUAAAGUCAUGAACUAUAUCUAUAUGUAUAGUUGACUGAGCCAAAAUGAAAAAUCUCAAGGAAACUUUCGCAUCCUCCCCACAAUACAAAAAUAAGUGUAUAUUAUGUAUUAUUAAAUAAGUUGCUUGUAAAAUUUUAAAAUAUCAUAAGAUCAAGAUCCAAUAUUAAGUAUUUAGAGUUCUUUACACAUCCAUGGAUAUAAAAAUCAUUUAUCACCUCUAUGCAACCCUAAGAAGCGUAAAAGAGAAAGAGAAGGAGUUAGAUAAGAAUAUAAGAUGAAAGAAUAUCGAGAAGUAGAAAGAACAUACCAAAAGACAAAACUACCCUCACUUUUUUAUUUUAAUAUCAAAAUUAGAAAUAUGUCCAACUUUUAUUGCAUAAUGUACAAUAAAGUUAAGUUGUGGUCGUCCUAACCUUUCAUGCUUCUAUAUAGUAGUAAAAAUAUAUAUUAAUCUCACUCAUUCCAAACUUGUCAACCCAACAACAAAUUAAGUGGCACUAUAACUUAAUCUCAAAACUAUUUGAUGUUAUCCUUUACACCAAACGACCCUUUAAGAAUGUACACAUAUUCUCAACACUUCGAUUCUUCUAUUUUUAUCUCCUUAUUUAUUUUCCUUUAAGCAUCAAAGCCCAUAAAAUGAGGGUAAUUAGCAUGACUAUUUUUUUUCUUUUUUUAUGUUACUAGCCUAAAACACAUCUACACUGGAGUAUUGGUUUUGUUGCGAUUUCACAUUUUAACUAUUAGUUAUUUCAUUCUUGUCUUAAAUUCUGAACUAUCACCAUCUAUAUAUUAAAAUAUAUUUGAAUUAUCAAUUAUUUUCUUUUUCUAUUUGAAAUAUUAUGACUGCAGUGUUAGAAUAGAAAAAUAUAACAACUGAUAGUUCAGAUAUGCUUUAAUACAUAAAUAAUACUUGUUCACGAAAAAAUAAUAAUUUAGAUAUGUGUCUUAUGCCGUUAUCGUUUUUUUUUUUUUGGUUGUUGUUGUCAUUCUAAUACCUUAGCAGUUACUAUUUUUAAUUAUCUUUGUAAUACCCAUGUGAUACUGUUUUGAAUUUUGAUUGUAUUGACGUGCUCUUAAAAAUUGGGCAGCAAAAGGUAGUUGUCAGAUUAUCUUUGAAUGGAAAUUAUCAGAAAUAUCGGUCCAAGGCCUUCAAGGUUACUAUUUAUAUUUCCCUUUGCCAUGUGUAAAAGAUGUUAGUGUGACAUUUUAAUAUUCUAAAAUAUAUUAAAUUUUGCAAUAUUUUGCAUAGUCACACAAAUAUUGAUUUCUGGCCGUUGGUUGACUUCUCACUUUUCAUAGGUUACAAAAUGUUGGAUGUAAUAACAAUCAUAAUUGUUGCAUUACUCCAAAUGGAGUUAGUGCAUAUGUUACAAACUUUUUGGUGCAGCAGCAAGCCGUUGGUGGCUUAGUGAUUCAUUAUUCCAUUCUUUACUCCUUCAUUAUCCAUGUAACCUAUGUAACUCCUAAGGCUAUUAUCUUCACUAUUUACUACACCAUUAUCUUCCUAUUCAUUGCUAGGAAGACUUCUUCUAGUAUAAAUAGUGGUGAUCUUCAUUUGGUUUGUGACACACAAUACAACAAGAAAAUAUAGAGUGUAUAAGGUUUGUCAAAAAGAGAGUUCUUAUUAGUUGAAAGGAGGUGUUCUUUUUUGUGGAGCUUUGGACUCAACUCUUGUCCAGAGUUGUUGAGUUAUAUUUUGUGAUUAGGCUGUUGUAUCCUGGAGGGGAAGGUUGCAAAAGGUUUUAAACAACUAGAAGGCCUAGAAUUGGACCGGUGAAAAUAUUUGCUGCAGUGGGCUUGAAUCUCCUUAAAGAGAGCGAGAUAUCCGCGCCUCAACCUGAAGAGUAUUUAUUUCUUCUAUUUUUAUUUUCAAUUGUAAUCUUGUAUUUUUGUUAUCUUGCAAGUUUUUCACUAACAAAAGAUGUUUAGUCGUGUAAAAAUCUUUGAUACAUUUUUGUAUAAGUUAAAGUCAAUUUAUUUCAAAUACCAAUAUUUUCUAGACUACCAAGUUAGAUAUUACUAAAUGUGAUAGUAAUAUUUUUGAAGGUUUUAACCCAAAAAAAAAAAAAUUGUUGAGCAGGAAAUUUCCCCUAAAAAUUCAACUUAUCAUCAUGUGAUGUGUUACAUUGUUUCAUUUCUUUAUAAAAAUCAAUGCAAAAAACUUAUUCACAUCGAUACAUCCAAUAUUUUCUAUAUAUUUAAGUCGAGUGUUUUUAUUUGAUGUACAAAACAAUAUAUAUGACGACGAUUUGAGUAUAGGAGUCUAAAUUUUUAAAAAAAUUCAAACUUUUAGCGUCUACAUAUAUAUGAUGAAGAGGUGGUGGGUGGAUUGCCAUACACGCAAAGCCCACGGUUUGAUUUGAUAAGCUCGUGGACUUAAUUUAGCGAUUUGUGAUUACUUUUCUCUUCCUAAUUACAUUGCACAAGUCAUUAAUAAUUAUAUCCUACAACUUAUAUUGGGAGCGUCACUCCUGAAUGAGCUCUGCAAUGUAUGAUUUAAAAAAUUUAAUCAAAAUUUUAAUGUGAGUUUCGGACACUGGACGGAAAAAAAAAACAUCCUCCACGACCUCCCAAUAGUUUCGAAGAUACUUCAUAUUUAAUUUAUUAAAUUAACUUAAAUUGGUCGACAAAAAAAAGAACAUUAUUUUCCAUCUGAACACUUCUCUAGAAUACUUUACAUAGAAGAAGUAUAUUUAUUUUAUGUGAGCCCUUCGGUCUUUUUAUUUGUUUUUUUAAAAAAAAUUUAAAAAAUAAAUGACAAGCCUCCCUCAUUGCUUAAUACUUUCGUUUAAAUUAUAAAAUAAAUAUAAAGGCAUAAUAACCUAAUAAGCUUAACCAUGAUUAAAUACUUUGUCUUUCAUCCAGAAUCAUUUAACAAAAAAAAUGCUAUGUAGGGUGCCAUGUACGUAGGACGAAUGUGUCUAUUUGUUUAAUUUUAUGCAAGUUUAAGUGUCUACUUAUGCACAUCCAAAGUUAAAGAUCAUAGUUAUUAGCUAGCGUCAAGUUAAGGAUCAUAUUUAUAUAUUAUGCCAAAUUUAGCUUGUCCAUUACAUAUUAAUAUGACGAUAUGAUUAAGUCAUAUACAUGACGUAUAUAAGUUGAGUAUAAUUUAUUAUGUCGUAGUUUCCAGGGUUUGAUAGGAUGACUUUCCUAAUUUUUGUGGUGUUGAAUCUCCGUAAUUCACAAUUUUCCUCAAAUAUAACUAACAAAGCUUAUUUAAUUAAUUAUUUGACAGAUUAAAACGGCUCAAGACUACAUAUGAAGAAAAUUCUUUGAACUUAUCCAAAAUAUAAUGGAUCAUUUUUGUCAUUUUCUCUUUGUCAUUUUUGUCUAGCCAUUUUUUUUUUGGGUCUUAAAUACGUGUUUUUUUUCAUCUAUAAAUACUCCAAAUUUAAAAAUUGUCGAUCUCCAAGCCAAUUUCUCAUCAUUUCAAGAAUUAUAAAUCUUUCCCUACUAAAUUAGGACUAUAUUGUAAAACAAGUUUUCCACCAAGGACUAGCAAAAAUGAAAGUAUGCAUGUCUUAAUUUUUAAGUAUACUUAAUUUAGUCUAAGUCUUAAUUAAUUAGCUCUAUAACAUAUUGCAUUACUUUAUUUCUUAUAUUUGUGGUAUUAGUUGAAUUGUGAUUACUUACAUAGAUUCAUAAUUAAAUUGGACAGCAAAGGGCGUUUAUCAAAUUAUUCAUUGAUAGGAAUAAUCGGAAAUCUCGGACAAAGGCCUUCAAAAUUGCUGUUUCUCAACCAGGUAUUUAUUCGUCUCCGUUCAGUUUCUUGAUUUUAACUAUUCAAAUCUAAAACUUGUGAAACUCAUUUUCUUAUAUGUUUUAUCGUGGGUGAAUAAACUAAAUUAGCUCAUAAAAAUAUGAUACACGUCAUCAUAUCCAGGUUUAGGCAAGUUGAGGCGCAGAUCGAUUGUUGAGCUUGAAUUGGGCCAAAUAUUUAAUACAAGUAGCAAAAUGUUUGGACAAAAAUUAUUUUUGAUAUACCUUAGGUAUCCCCAUGUCAAAGAUAUAUUAAGUUUUAUAUAAUACAUAAACAUAAACAUGAUCCUUAACUUGGCUUCAACGGACAACUAUGCCCUCUAACUUUGAGUAUGCACAAGUAGGCACUUAAACUUGUAUAAAAUUUAACAAGUAGACACACGUGUCCUACAUGGCACCCUAUAUGAAAAUUUUGUGUCCUACGUGGCGUCCUACAUGUAUUAUGCUGUUUAGGACAUGUGUGUCUACUUAUUCAAUUUUAUACAAGUUUAAGUGCCUACUUGUGCAUACCUAAAGUUGGAGGGCAUAGUUGUCCGCUGAAGCCUAAUUAAGGGCUAUGUUUAUGUAUUAUGCCAUUUUUAUUCUUUUGAUAAAUACCACCUAUUUGUUUAUCAUAUUUUGAUCCAGUUCAUUUCAAUUUACAUAACUAGAAAAAUUAAUAAGAACCCAUCCAUUUAUUAAUUUUGUUCAUAUAGAGCAUUUCAAAUUCAGUACAACUCGUCCAUUUAAUAUCAUCGUGAUCUUAUUGGUGUAUGCUUUUACAUAUAUAGGGGUGGAAUCAGCAGCUAUAAAGGAAGGUGAAGAUUUCCAAUUAGAAGUAGUGGGAGACAUUGACGCAGUAGAUCUUACGAACUGCCUCAGGAAGAAAUUGGGCCACGCUCAGCUACUGAGCGUUGGCCCUGUUGUCGUUGUUACUGAUAGUGACAACGACAACGACAACGACAACUUGGGAGGGGGUACAGGUUUCGAUGCAAAUCCGCAACCCCAUAGUUACCCAUAUUUUGGCGUACCUCAAUACCAAGUUUAUGAAGUUAGCGACCCGAACCCGGAAUGUUGCUCCAUUAUGUGAAAUGUUAAUUACUUGGAUUAUAUUGCAUGAAAUGUAACGGUCUAUAUGUCGGAGCAAAUUAAUCAAUCGAUGAUUGGCUGUUUUGAUUUCUAUUUUACAAGUUUUUGUUUCGAGAGAAAUAUUGAAAACACCCCUAAACUCGAUCUGAAUUAUUUGUUUCAUUUUCGAACUAUCGACAAUCUUAAAAAUACUCAUUUACUUGACUAACUGAACUUAAAUACACCCCUAUCUUGCAACAUAAUGAAACACACACCCUAAAUUCUCGCUAAGGUUAGGGGUGUUUUCAACACCUCUCUCGGCUCUUUAUUAAGAGUUUCAUGCUUUUACAAGAGUUUGAGACCACUUGUUAUGUCGUGUGUCAGAUUGAGUGUGUAUCUAAGUUUAGAUAGUCAAAUCGAAGGGUGUUUUCAAGGCGUUUAGUAGUUUAGGAAUAAAACUAAUAAUUUGCAUCAAGUUGAGUAGUAUUUUCAAUACUUUAUCUCUUCUAUUUUUGUUCAUUUUUGGAUGAUCAUUUAUAGUGUUAAAUUUUUUGGAAAUAGUCUACGAUCAUACUUCUGCUAAAUUAAAGAAAAUGUUAAUACUUUAAUUUAAAGUAUAUUGGUGCUUUAAUAAUGCAUGCUUGUUAAACAUGAUUAAUUUGAUGUUGAGGUUUUUUGUUUUAACAUGUGGGUUGGAUUUUAAAGGCAUCGUUUGGAGAUGUAUAUGAAAUCAUGAAACGAAAUCAAAUUGAUCUGAUAUGAAGUUUUCUUUGAACAUGUAAUUUGAAUUUCUUAAGUUAUAUUUUUUUUCACAAACAUAAAAGUACCCAACAAGCUGUGAACUAUCAAAAUUUUCUCAAUUCUUAUAUAAUCUUACCAAGUAAACAAAUUAUAGUUCAUAAACAACACAUCAAAAUACCGUAAAGCUGCGAAAACAAAAAUUCACCAACAAAAAAAUAGUACCAACAAUAGUAAAACUAUGAGAUGCAUAAUAAGAAAAGAAGCAUUUCAGACUAGAAAAUCACAACAGGUAAUCGAUCGAUCCACUAGUUAGAUCAUCAAUAGCUCCGAUUUAGAGACCACAUCUUAUUAUACAUAUAAGUUAUAUAUUCCAAUUAAGUAUUUGGCAUUCACAUUAUGGAGCAACAUUCUGGAUUCGGGCCUGUAUUUUCGUAAACUUGGUAUUGAGGUAUGCCACGGUAAAUAUUGAGUUGCGGUGGCUGAUGAUCAGCCAUCGCAGAAAAAGCAUGGGGCCUUUCGUUGUUGUUGUUACUGAAUGUAGCAGCAGCAACAGGCCCAACGCUCACCAAUUGGGCCUGACCCAAUUUCUUCUUGAGGCAGUUGGUAAGAAUUACUGCGUCAAUAUAGUCUCCCACCACUUCUAAUUUGUAAUUUUCAAGUCCACCUCCCUGCAUAACUGCUGAUAUCACCCCUAAGUAAAAAUCCACCAAUUAUUAUAAGCGGUACUAAAGAUUAAGCCGAAGAAGAAUUAUAACUAGAAUUCUUCGCUCAGGCCCUUUGGUAGGCCCUUUGUACCAAGAAGUAAGUUCAGAAUAUAGGAUAAUGGACUCGUCCAUUAUAAGUUAUUAGUUUAUGGAGCUAUCUCCCAUAAGGAAACGGGACAAGUGUUAAAUAAGCGAGUUAAAUUGAAUUUGAAUAAGUACUUUAAUUAUGUUUAUUAAAAAUUUUAGCUUCGUCACCGACUGUUGCCAAUCUAUCCAACCUAACUAAGUUUAUAUUUUUUUUUUGCUUACUUGCUUAUAAUUUUUAUAGUUACCAAACAAAAUUAUAAAACUUCAUUUUCUUUAAUAUAACUCUAUCUAACAUAUCAAAUAAUUUAUGUAAAGAAAUAUUUUGCCAAAUUUUAUUAUGGGAGACGAAGAAGUAGGUACCUGGUUGAGAAACAGCUAUCUUGAAGGCUUUGGUCCUAGAUUUCUGAUCAUUCCCAUUUAUGUAUAGUUUGAUAACUACUUUUUGCUGUCCAAUUUAUGAAUUUAUGUCAGCAAUUACAACUCAACCAAUACCACAAAUAUAUUUAUUGUAUAAAUAAAUAUAACAAGUAUAUAUAUAUAUAUAUAUAUAUAUAUAUAUAAAACACGUUAGAUUAAGAUUAUAAUUUUAAAAAAAAAAAAGACAUGCAUACUCUCAUUUUUACUAAUAUUCUUGAUGGUUUGCAAUAUAAUAAUUUAAUAGGGAAAUAGUGGAGAAUGAGUGUCCUAUAUUUAUAGUUGGCCUUAAAAGCACGGAAAAAACACGUAAAGAUUUUAAUAGAGAAAUAAUGAAAAUGGUCCCUAAUGUUUGAGUAGGUUCAAAGUAGUCUCUUAAAAUUAUACUUUUAAGUAAUUUUGAGUCUUCUAAUUUUUUUUUUCAAAAUUGGCACGUUUAGUUUCCUUAUAUUAUAACAAGAAGCUUCGCCAAUUAUAUUCGAGCGGAGUUGUGAAAAAAGAGAUGUAAAUCUUAAUAAAAACAAUGACACUAAAAACAUUUCAUAUGUGAUUUUCGAUCAGGGCUAAGCCAGAGUGUUGAUUACAGGUUCAAUCGAACUCAGUAACUUUGGUUCAAAUUUUAAAUUUGUAGAAAGAAAUUCAUUAAAUAUGUACAAAUUAUUAGUUUAUAACUCAAUAACUUAACAAUAUUAAAACUUUGAAGUCAUAAACUUCAAAUUUAAACUGUCUCUCUCUGUUUUCAACUAAAUAUUUUUGUUUUCCACUAUUCCCACGAUCAAAUUUUGUAUGUUAGAUAUUUGAUCGAGAUAAAAAAAUUGUUCGAUUUUGAAAAAUUAAACUGACCAAAUAUAUUUAGGAAACUAUUUGAACAUUACCACAAAAUUACGAGACUGAUUUUGUUAUGUCAUGGAUAUGACAUAAUCAUUAAUUUUGAUGUAAAGGCCGGACCAAUGAUGUUUUUCCAUGAAACUAGAUAAGUAAUUAUCCUUUAAUUUAUGUUUGAUAAAUAAACUUUAUUGGUUGUUUUAAUAAUUUUUUGUCAAUUUUCCCUUUUUCCUUUUGAAUUUAUAGAAAAUUAAUUAGACAUCUUCCAUACAAUCCCCAUAAAAUAAAAGUCAUGGCAGUAAGUGAGAAUUAAAGAAUUAAUUUAGCCGCAAUACUGGAAAAAUACUUUGUAGACACGGCCAAAUGAAAUUGCUCGCUAAAUUACAAUAAGCUUCUUUCUGAUUUCCUCGCCGUAGUUUUCAUGUUUCACUUAUCGAGAAUCAGAAUAAUUUCUUGAGCUAAUUAAAUUAGAUUAAUUCAUUUUUUACUAUAUCAAUUUGGAUAUUUAAAAAUUAUACGAGAAAUACUAUGAAAAUAUAAGUUGCAAAAAUUGAUGAAACUAUAUAUAUUAAAAUGUUUGUUGAAUUUCAUGUAGUUUGGCACUCAAAAACUAAUAAAUGACCAGUAUUUUAGGAUGGAGAGAGUAUGCACUACUACAAUGAUCAAUAGCUUCCAAUUUCUUAUUCCCAAAAAUUACAAACAUUUUUUUUUUCUGAAUAAUGAAUAGUACUCGAGGGCUGCACUGAAGUGCACUUUUCAGUUUAUUUACUUUUUCCUUGUCUAUUAUUUUAAAAAUAAUUUUUUAUUUCUACUGAUUAUUUAUAAUAUAUCAAGAAAAGAUAUAUUAUUUUUGUUUUACUGUUUGCAUAAUUACUUAUUUUUUCAAUUAUUUUAAAACUUUAUACUAAACAUCAAAAGUAUUAAAUCAUAAUUAAUUAAACUUAUUCUAAUAUUUAAAUAUAUAUAUAUAUAUAUAUAUGUCCAUUUCCAUUAUCCAUUACAUAUAUAUAAGUGACAAUAACCAGCCGGUCAUGGUCGACAUGCCUGCCUGACAGCUGCACUAUUUUCUCUUUUUUGGUGGUUCUGUCGUUUUAAUUUGUUUGUCUUGUUUUUUAAUUUUUUAAAUGUUUAAAAAAAAAUAUUAUAAAUCAUAAUAAUUGAAUACUAUAAAAAAAUCGAUUGAUUCAUAAAAUUAAUCUAUCUGUGUCACUUAAAAUGGGAUAAAAGAAGGAACAUGUAUUAUUUAAUUUGAAAACUUCGUAGAAAGUAUUGUAAAUCUCAAUAAUUAAUAACAAUUGAUUGACUUUUGAAAUUCUAUUUGUGCUACUAGAUACAUUGGAUAAAAGAAGUAACAUAUAUUAUUAAAAAUUUACGUAAAAAGUACUAUAAAUUACAAUAAUCAAAAGAAGUAACAUAUAAUAUUUAAUUUGGAAACUGUUUAGAAAAUAUUAUAAAUAUCAGUAAUUAACAACAUUUGAUUGACUCUUAAAAUUCUAUAUGUGUUACAUACAUUGAGACAGGAGAAGUAAUAUAUAUUAUUUAAAAAUUAUGUAAAAAUAUAAUAAAUUACAAUAAUUAACAACUUAAAAUAUUUAAAAAUUAUAUUAAAAUUUAAUUGACUAUCUAAAUUCUAUCUAUGUCACAUAAAGUGAGACAAAAAAAUAACAUAUACUUAGAUCUGUGCUAGCACGGACACUGAUAUCUAGUAAUAAUUAUAAAAAGGCAUUUAGUAGUGUUGCUUUUGUUGUUGUUUCUUCUUCUUUCUUUUUGGUAUAGACCAAGUCAAUAAACGACUAGUUAAUUCAAUAAAUUACCUGUACUUGGAUCUUCGAAAUUAUUAGAGGAUGUAGCUUUCAAUGACUAUUCCCGGUGUUAGAAGGAUGGAGGCAAGUUGAUGGUAAUUUCUGAAGAAUUUAACAAAAUAACAAGUAGUGGCAAUUUGGAUAUAUAAAUAAAGUAAAAAUUACACAAAAUUCAUAGUGUUAAGAGUUACUAACAUUUUGUUCCUAUUUUUUUCCGAAUUACCAAAAUCUUUUAAAAUUUAAAGAUUUCAGAUAUAUUACUCAACGUUCCGAUACAUCGCGUUUCGAUACAUUACCUUUGAUACAAGAUACACAUGUCCCCACACAUUAUCUUUGUUGAUACAAGAAACACUUAUCUCGAUACAUCGCAACCCGAUACAUCACGUAAGAGUGAUGUAUCCGAGAAUAGGAGAGAGAGUGAGAAAAAUAGAAAUUUUUAUAAUUUUUCAAAUAAUAGGAAAUUUUUAAAAAUAUGAUAAAAUAAAUUGGAUAUUUAAUUCAUUUUUCCAUUAAUGAAUAUAUAUAAUCCUUCCGACUUAGACAACUUUUCCUUAAGUUUUGAAGAGAAGUCAUUUUCCUUAAAUUUGAGGAAAAUAAGUUGAUUUGGAAAAUAUUUUCCAAAACAUUUAACCCAACCAAAUAUGAAAAAAUUGAAAAAUAUUUUCCAAAAAACAUGAAAAUGUUUUCCUUCAUACCAAACACACACUAAAUUGUCUUUAUUUGCAAAGGUUCCAUAGUUAGUGGGCUUUGCUACUCGAAGAGGAUAAAUAAAGAGUCAUUCGCACUUUUGGCACUAUUUCAGUAUUUUUAUGCUACUUGUUUAACUUGAGUCGAGGGUCUGUCAAAAACAAUAUAUAUUUACCUAUCUUGUAAAGGAUUAAGGAUACCUAUGUACUAUUCUUAUAGACUCACUUGUAAAAUUACACUAAGAGGAUAUUUGGAUUGGCUUAAAAGUUGGUCAAACCUACUUUUAAGUUAAUUUUUGACUUAGAAGUGUUUGACAAAUAUAAAAAAGGGAAAACUACAUAAAUCCCACUAGUUUAGGUUCUAAUUAUUAAUAUUCCCAAUAGUUUCAAAUAUUACUUCAUAUACCAUAUUUCGUACUUAGGAUACAUGAGUCUGAAUCCGCGAGAUACAUGUAUUUGUUGAAUUUAAAAUAAAGAUACAUAUUUUAUUUAUUUAAAUUAAUUGGUUGUAACUAAUUUCCUUAAUUAGAGGAAUAGUUGAGGAUUUUCAGAAUAUAUGGACAAUUAAUUAUAAAAAUUUAAAUUAAUCAAAUCUCUUAAUAUAAGGCAAAAAUCAAGGAGUGUAUCUAUGUUUAAUUAAUUUAAUUUUUAUUUAGUCUUUUGAAAUUAAUAAAUUCUUUAAUAUUAUUAAUAAAGACAAAAACAUGUAUAUCUUGGUCAUGUAUUUUGAUCAAUUUCAUUUUAUUACUCUUUGAAUAAUAAAUUCAUUAAUUUGAUGUAUUUAUUAUCAAUAUAUAAUGUAUCCAACAAACUAAGCACUUAGAUACAUGAGUAUCAUACAAGUGCAUUCAUAUGUAUCAUAGAAGUAUCUAGUAUUAAUUUCAUGUAUUUGUUAUACGUAUCUAGUAUUAAUCUCAUGUAUCUAUUUAUAUGAUCUAAUAUUUAUUUCAUGCAUCUUUUAUAUGUAUAUUGUGAUGUAUCAAGUAUCAAUUCCAUACGUUAUAUCCAAUAAACAUGUAUCUCAGAUACAUAGUAAGUAUAUACAUCUAACUAUGUGUAUCUAAAUAUGGAUGUAACUGAAACACAUAAAUUUAGGAACAAAUCAUAACUGUAGAGUAUUUGUUGUAUCAUUAAUAAAAAAAAAGUAAAAAUCAAAUUUCUUCCUUUUUUUAGGAUCUGAUUUUUUUUCUCAUAGAUACUGGCAAUCUAACUCAGAUACAUUAACUCUUAACUAGAUACAUGCACAUCUAGUACCCUUUGUAUCUCUUUCCUCUUCUACAGAUGCCAACGCCACCUCCAUUGCACGUUUCCUUGCCAUCAUGAAAUCGUCAUCUCCAACAAAAACUUCAGCAAACUAGCAGGAAAUCGGUCAUUCCUCAUUGCGCUCUUCUCCUAGAUACACUGAGGAAUUGAAACUUGAUGAUGUUGAACAUAUUGUUAUACUGUCCUUGAAUGAGAGGUAGAUAUCUUAACCUUUUUCAUAUAAGUAUUAUUAUUGUUGUAUUCACGAAUUUCUUCCCUUGGUUUAGCGUGUUUUAUUACGUCCCUUGAAGAAGGAUGUAAUUCCAAUCCCCUCAAUUUUGAUUCGGCGGUUAGCAUCGUGAUCAUUACCUUAUUUGUCAUCUCAAAAGUGAAGGAUACACAAAAAUUGUCAUGCACUUGAACCUCCUGUCCAUUAUAAGUGGGAUCAAUACUCGCUCAUUGCAUUGCACCAGAAUGUUGUGACCUUUAAUGAUAAUCAUUACCUUAUGUAUCCAUUCAGAUUUCUGGAGAAAACAUCGAUGGAGAUUGGUAGAAGGGGACAAUUGUGAAAAUAAGAAGACUGUAGAAAAUUCUUUGAAUUUGAUUGAUGAAAAUUCUGUACAAUUACACUAUAUUUAUACGAGUAUAUUGCUAACUAACUGCACAACUGGCUAUCUCUAAUUGGUCUACCUAUAACAAAUUAAGGGAUGUGACUCUAUCUAAUUGUAUCUUUUAAAAUAUAUGGUAUAAAAUAUUAAAAGUGGUAAUAUAUGUAAUUGUUUGGAAGUAGAGGUAAUAUUAGUAUAUAUACUAAGGAUGUAUGUCUAGUUAAGUAGUUUCAAUAAGUUAGAAAGUGUGUGACAAGGUUUAAAAUGACGGUUUAAAAUGACUUAAAAUAAGUUAAAAACCAAAAGUAGAUAUACCCCUACUUUUUAUUUUUGACUUAAAAGUUAUUUCAAUUUGACUUUUUAUUUUUGACUUAAAAGCUAUUUUUUUUAAGCCAAUCCAAACGGACUCUAAAUAUAUUGUUAUUGUUAUUGAAGUUACAUUUAAACAUACAUUUUACUUGGAAACAUUUUGAAAUGUUGUGGGUGGAAGAUAACUUUCACUCAGAUCAGUUUUGGAACUUGAUUUUUUUUCUCCAUAAACUAAUCACAUUUCAUAAACAAAGAAAAAA
rnacentral:lncRNA from 1 species